CCUUCAAGUCACCUCCUUCUAUAUGGAUGGACCAGCCCUUAGUUGGUACCAGUGGAUGUACCGGAACAACCAGAUUCGAUCAUGGUUUGGGUUUCUUCGUGCCCUGGAAACACGUUUCGCGCCGUCACUCUAUGGUGAACCUUCUGAUGCUCUAUUCAAACUCACACAGAAGGGGACAGUCCAACAAUAUCUCACAAAGUUUGAACGACUCGCAAAUCGGAUAGUGGGUUUACCUGCCCCAUUUGCCCUGAAUUGCUUCAUCUCUGGCUUAACCCCAGAAAUUCGCCGCGAGGUUCAAGCCCUCCGUCCCGCCUCUUUGGAUCACGCGUUCCAGCUUGCCAAGCUCUAAGAAGACAAGAUUGAGGAAUGUUGUCGUUCCUUUCGCCCUAAAAGCCAACUUCCGACAACCACUUUAAAUACUGCGUUACCAGCUGCCACUGCAUCACUGGCCCUCCUGCUGCCACCCCAACCCCAUGUCAACUUUCUCCGCCUCAGUCCAGAAGACAUGGCCGCUCGUCGGGAAAAGGGUCUUUGCUAUAACUGCGACGAGAUCUUCACCCGUCCCACCGAUGCAAGGGGAAAUUUUUUCUUUACACUACAUAAGACCCCAUCGCAGAUGACUUCACACCGGAACCUCCCUUGAUCCUGGAUCUACCUUCUCCAACGCCAGUUGCUGACGGACACCCUUCUCAGGUCAGCCUCCAUGCUUUCACCGACGGUGUUGGUUCAUCCACCAUACGUCUCCAAGGGCAAAUCGGCAACAACCCUGUUUCUAUUCUCGUUGAUGGUGGUAGUGACCACAACUUUAUUCAAGACCGGGUAGCCAAAUUCCUAGAUCUCCCUUCAAUCCCAUACAACCCACUGACCGUUAUGGUUGGUAGCGGCAACCUCCUACGUUGUGACCGCCUUUGCCUUAAGGUCGAAAUCAAAAUUCAGGAGCACAUCCUCUAGGUUAAUUUCUACAUUCUUCCUCUGAGAGGUGCUGAUAUCGUUUUGGGCACGCCCUGGCUCAAAUCUAUUGGGCCUGUUCUCAUGGAUUAUGCCCAACUUACAAUCUCAUUUAACCACCAAGGCCAACCCAUCUUAUUACGGGGCAUCAAACACAGUCACACCGACCCAAUAUUUAGCCCACAACUGAAACAAUGCAUCCAAACUAAUAGUGCAUCUGAACCCUUCGCCAUACAAAUCAUACCCAUCCAUGAACCUACACCAACAAAAUCACCGCUUCCCACCACUUCUCUACCACCUGACAUCACGAACCUUCUCCUCCGUUUUGACCACCUCUUCUAAUCACCAUCAUCAUUACCUCUCUCUCGCCCAACUGACCACCAUAUCCACCUCUUACCCAAUUCUACACCGGUAAACGUCAAGCCCUACUGUUACCCUCAUUCCCAGAAAUGCGAACUUGAAAAACAAGUCAAAGAAUUGCUCGACAAAGCCAUGAUCCAACCAAGUAGGAGUCCGUUCUCUUCACCUGUCCUACUAGUUCGCAAGAAGGACGGGUCCUGGCAUUGUUGUGUCGAUUACCGGGCUCUUAACGCCGUCACUGUUCGUGACCGCUUUCCAAUGCCUACCAUUGAUGAGUUGUUGGACGAGCUCAGUGGUGCCACAUGGUUUUCCAAACUCGACCUUUGCCAAGGUUUCCAUCAAAUAUUGAUGCAUCCUGAGGAUAUUGCUAAGACAGCCUUUCGUACUCACCAAUGACAUUAUGAGUACCGAGUGAUGCCCUUUGGGCUCUGUAAUGCACCGAUAACGUUCCAAGCUACUAUGAAUACCCUCCUCGGCCCAUUUCUCAGUCGAUUUGUUGUUGUAUUUUUUGACGACAUUCUUGUUUAUAGUUCGUCCCUCUCACAACAUGUUUCUCAUUUGGAACAGGUCUUUCAAUGUUUGUUGGAGAACAAGUUCUACCUCAAACUCUCGAAGUGCUUAUUUGUCCAAAGACAAUUGGAAUAUCUGGGACAUAUUAUUUAUGUUGCAGGGGUUCAACCUGACCCUUCCAAGAUACAAGCAGUGCUGGCUUGGCCUCCUCCCUCCAACGUCAAGGCUCUCCGUGGUUUUCUUUGCCUUACUGGUUUUUACCGAAAAUUUGUCAAAGGUUAUGCCAAUAUUGCCUCCCUCCUUAUGUCUAUACUUCGUAAAGAUGCUUUUGCCUGGACUCCAGAAGCUCAACACGCAUUUGACGAUCUCAAGGUAGCCAUGACCCGUGCACUAGUUCUUGCCUUGUCGGACUUCUCGGUUCCUUUCACUGGGGAUACAGACGCGUCUGGCAUAACUAUGGGUGCCAUUUUAAUGCAACGCAAUCAGCCAAUUGCGUUUUUCAGUAAACCAUUCAGCCCCAAACUCCUCCAUUCAUCCACUUACGUCCGAGAAUUACACGCUAUUACUUCAGCUGUCAAGAAAUGGUGUCAAUAUCUGUUGGGGUACCCAUUUGUUAUCAAUACAAAUCAUAAAAGCCUCAAAGAGAUUUUGUCCCAGGUUAUACAAACUUCUAAACAACAAUAUUACCUUUCUAAGUUACUGGGAUAUGAGUACACAAUCCAGUACAAGCCAGGAUCUCAUAACGUUGUUGCAGAUGGUCUCUCUAGACUCCCCGACUCCUCUGGCAUGUGUUAUACCCUUUCCAUGCCUAACUUCAUAUUUCUAGAGCAGUUGCGACAAUCAGUGGAAACUAGUUAUGUUUACACUACCUUACUCUCCGGCAUCCAAACUAUCCCUACUGCUCAUCCUGAUUAUACAUUGCACAAUGGGCUGAUUUUAUUCAAAAAUCAUUUAUGGUUGAAUCCUGAUAAUACAUUCUGACUCAAACUUAUUGAUGAAUAUCAUAGUACUCCAAUUGGUAGACACAUGAGCAUAACAAAAACUGUUACUCGAUUGUUAGCAAAUUUCUACUGAGAUGGCCUCCGUAAAGAAGUCAAAAUUUUCAUUCAACAAUGCUUUAUCUGUCAACAAGUGAAGUCUAGUACACACAAACCAAUUGGUCUUUUGCAACCUUUACCGAUACCUACAGCCAUAUGGGAAGAUUUAUCCCUUGAUUUUAUAACUGGUCUACCAUCUUCUCAAGGUUUCACAGUUAUCUUGGUAGUGGUCAAUCGUUUUUCUAAGGGAGUUCAUUUGGGCCCUCUGCCACAACACUAUUAUGCUUCUAAGGUGGCUCAUUUAUUCCUUGAUAUCAUCUGCAAAUAUCAUGGCAUACCUCGCAGUAUUGUCUCUAAUCGCGAUCCCAUUUUCAUCAGUAAAUUCAGGCGCGAAUUAUUUCGCUUAUGUGGCACUCGCUUACGUAUAAGCACAUCAUACCAUCCAGAAACGGACGACCAAACAGAGGUUUUUAACAGGGUCUUAGAGCAAUACCUCCGUUCUUUCGUCCACUUCAAUCCCUCUCAGUGGUCUAAGUAUUUAGCUUUGGUGGAAUGGUCUUAUAACACUUCUAUACACUCUUCCACAGGCUAUUCUCCUUUCCAUAUCAUUUAUGGCAAGCCAGCCCCGUCCAUUCCCCAUUAUUUACUGGGAUCAUCAUCUGUAGAAGCUGUCGAUACAGUGUUGGCGUCACACCAAAACCUCUUAGCUCAAUUGCAGAGAAAACUCCUUAAAGCCCAGGCCACUAUGAAGCAUUAUGCGGAUCUCAAACGAUGUGAUAUGUCUUAUGAGGUAGGUGAUUUGGUUUAUGUUCGUCUCAGACCAUACCGACAACAAUAUCUUUCUGGUUUCUCUUAUCACAAACUUUCCAAAAGGUUUUAUGGUCCUUACAAAAUCCUGGCUCGAAUUGGUACAGUUGCUUAUCAAUUAGAUUUACCACCUGAGUCCAAAAUUCAUCCCGUCUUCCAUUGUUCUUUGUUGAAACGUCAUCAUGGCCCUAUCCCGGACCCUACUCCACUUCCUUUGGAGGCUUUCAAUCAACAACCAAUCAUUCGCCCUCUGGCAAUUUUGGACACUCGAAUGGACACAUCAACCGAUCCUCCAACCAAAAUGGUUCUCGUUCAAUGGCUCGGAUUAUCACCCGAUGAUACUAGCUGGGAAGAAUGGGAGCAACUACGUUCUGAUUAUCACCUUGGGGACAAGGUGAUUUUUCUAGAGGCGAACAUUGUUAGCAAUCAAACCAUAAGCCAAUUGAAUAAUGCAAGGCCCAAAAGGAUUACCACCACACCAGCCCAUUUGAAGGAUUAUGUCCCAUAAAAUCUUUCUGUUAGCAUAUUCUAGAAGAGUUAGGUCACACUUUCCUUUGCAUCAGAAUAAUUCAGUUAUGCGUUUUGGUAGAUUGUCUUUUGGUUUUUGUAUAUUUCCUUGCUCACCCAGAUCAGGAGGACCCUUUGAUUGUAACCAACUAGGAUCUGAAUAUUUCUUGUAAUUGGCUAUAUAUAGCCUUUCGUAUGAAUGAAAAAGGACUGGAAAUUCAAUCAUCUUUGUCUUCUCUCCUAUUCUGUUUCAGGGGCUCCCUUAGCCAUUAAUUAAGGAAGUGAAAUCUAAUAGAAAACAUCCUCCAUGGUCAUGGAUGCCGCAAGGACACGUGUCUCUCUCAAUGAUGCCGUGGACUAGCUCCUUAGCAUAGCGAGAUAACUUGUCGUGGGAAGAGAGAAAUUUGGCGUAUUUGAAAUACUAAAUAAAUUAAUUUAAAAUACAAUAAAUUAAUAAACUAAAAACUUAAAAAAAAAAUUAACGGAUGUGAUCACGUAUAACAUACCCGUUUAACUGAUAAAAUAAACUAAAUUUAAAAAUUAAAUAAAACAAAAAUCAAUUUAAAUAAUUAAUAAUAAUUAUUUCAUUAAAUAAAAUAAAAUUAAUUUACAUAAUUACCUAACAUAUUAUAAAAAAACUAAAUAUUUUAAAUACUAAAUAAAUUAAUUUAAUAAACUAAAAACUACAAAAAAAUAAAAAUAAAAAAAAUCAACCUUCAACAUAUGUGACAUAUUCCGUUAACUAAGAAAAUAAACUAAAUUUAAAUAAUCAAUUAAAGAAAACAAAAAUCAAUUUAAUUAAUUUAAUAAUAAUUUUUUCAUAAAAUAAAAUAAAAUAAAUUUACAUAUAAUUACCUAAUAUAUUAUAAAAAAACUAAAAAAUUUUAAAUUCUAAAUAAAUUAAUUUAAAAUACAAUAAUUUAAUAAACUAAAAACUAAAAAAAAAUAGCCUUCAAUGGAUAUGUAAUAUAAAAAAUCAAAUAAAAAAAUAAAAUUAUAUAUUCCUACGAAUGUGGCAUAUCGGUUAACACAUCCGUUUCAACUUAACAUUUUUUAACAAUAUUUAUAAUAUUAUUAAACAUAUGGAAAUAAAAUAAAAAAUACAAAAACAUAAAUAUAUAUCUACAAAUAAAAUAAAUUAUUAAAUCCAAAAUAAAAAAAAUAAAAUAAAAUAAAAUAAUCUAAAAAAAUAUAAAGAAUAAACUAAAAUAAUAAAAAGAAGUUAUCAUAAUCCUUUAACGGAUGUGAUAAUCUAUCGACAAAUAUCAACAUUCGUUAAAAGAUUACUAUAACUCCUUCCCACACUUGGGACGAAACUUUCCUAUACUACCUCUGGUAACCAUCACCACAAACACCAAACUCUGCCACUGCUGACUCCUUGCACCACUUGCAACCUUCCACCAAACAAAGCCCACCAUUACACACUUAGAGCACUACACACCCUCAGGGAGGACAAUGAAACAGAAGAAGAAGAAGAAGAAGAAGAAAGAAAGGAAUAGUUGAUUUUCGUGUGCAAAUUCGGUGUGGGGGUGCAUUCUUAUAAAAGGGGACCAUUAAUGUAAUUAAUGAAGUAGGUUAAUGUUGGUGAAAAUUCACUGCACAGAAAAUAAGAACAAAUUUGUUAUAGGGAGACAUAGGGAGUAGGGAUGGCAAAAAAAUCCGCGGGCACGGGUAUCCGCGGGUAAAACCCGCGGCGGGUAGUUACUACCCGCGGAUAUUUACUACCCGCGGGUAACGGGUAGCGGGUAUUUUAAUACCCGCUUCUAAACGGGUAGGGUACAGGUAGUAUACUAUCUGACCCGCGGGUAUCCGUUACCCGCAAAAAAUAAAUAAAAAAAUUAAUUUAUAUAUUUUUUAAUUAAAUUUAAUUAAAAAUAAAAUAAAAUUAUAUUUUAUUAGAUUAAAAUUNAUUAAAAUUAAAUUUUAAUUUAUAUUUAAUUUAAUUUAUAUUAUAUUAUAUAUAUAUUUUUGUUAUUUUAUUUAAAUUUUAUUUUAAAAAAUAUAAAACAUAUAUAUAUUUUUUUUUGCAAAUAUCUGCGGGUACCCGCGGAUUUUUAAAAUAUCCACGAGUAUUUUUUAAGCGAGUACCCGGCGGAUAGCGGGUCGGGUGGCGGGUAUACUUUUAUCCGGCGGGUCAGGUAGCGGGUAGACACUAUCCGUACCCGACCCGACCCCUUGCCAUCCCUAGGGAGUAUCCGAUGGUGGUGGAAGGAGUUGCUAUUAGAAAGAUUGAGUUUGUACAUUGAGUUUGUUCUUUGUACAAGUUAAUACAUUAGGCUAAUUCUUGUUUCACCAGUAUAGUAGAUGUUGUGAUGAUACCCUUUGAUAAUAUAAUUAGAAUCAUGCUUAUUUUUUUUACAGGUAAAUAGUUUAGAGAAAAUCUAUAGAGUGUAGGUGCAAUUUAAGCAUACUGUUUUGAUUUGGUUUUUUUUUUUAAAUGUCUAAUAUCAUAUUUAUGUAAAUUGUUUUACAAAUGUGUAAUUUUAAGCAACCCUAUUUUUAUUUUUUGCUUAUAUAAACUAGUUCUUUUCAAAUCAAAAAUACCAAUUUAAUUAUAUUUGGAAAACGAGUCCAAUCGAGUUUUGUGCCUCUAAUCCUUGCACGUGAAUUCCUUAACUCUGGCUACCCUGAACAUAUAAAAUAACUGUAUGUUUACAUAUAAUUUUUUUAAAAAAGAGUGAACUACGUGAGAUCCUUACUUUAGGAAUACACAAAUAAAUUCCACUUUGAACCAAAAUAUUCACAAAUGUUAAAUAAACGAAUGGAUGAUGAUGAUCAAUACAAAAUGCAUAAAUUUAACAAAUUUAUAAGCAGUUGUAUAUUAUUUAUAUAUUUUUAUAAAUAUAUUAAAUUUUUAAACUCAAAUUAUUUUCAAGUUGAUUCUAUUCAAAACUUAGAUAUAAAUUAAAAAUAUAUAUUUUUUUCAAUAUCUCUUUUAACAAGUACAGAAACUAACGAGUUUAAAACUAGUUAAAUAAUAAAAACAUUAAAAAAUUUAUCUAUGGUGCCGCUAGAUCUUAACCAAUGUAUUUCACACAUUUAAUUAUCUAAUUAAGUAAAACUAACUAAAUAAAACCACAUUAAUUAAGUGAACCAAUACAUUACGAAAUUAAACCUGGUUUAUUGGAUUUCUGGGUUAAACGAAUAAUUCCCAAAUACUAACUUAGGAUAUUUAAAUGGAUACUUACAAAUAAUGGAUAAAGGUUAAUUUAGUACAUACUUAUAAACAUAUCGAGUGCAGAUAUCACACAAUAUGUACUCGUAGGUAUCCAUUACAUGUAAAAAAUUAAAAUUAAAAUUUAUUUUAUAUUUUAUUAGGUUAAAUUUAAUUAAAAUUAAAAUAUAAUUUAUAUUUUACUAGCUAAUUUAAUUAAAAUUAAAAAUUUAACUCACAUUUAAUUUAAUUUACAAUCUAUUUAUAUUUUAUUAUAUUUUAUUUAAAUUUCAUUUUAAAAUUCUAUAGAUUAGUUUUUAAAAUAUUCAUGGUUAUCCGUGAUACCUAGACCUUUUUAACUUGGUCCCUUUACAUGGUUGACUCUAAUCCACAUGAGUUGAAGCAAGAAAAACCCAAAGGCCAAAGAGCUCAUAGGAUCAAAACCUUCAUUUUGAAUACAAGAAAAAAAAUGUAAUUAACUUCUAAUUUGUUACAAAUAUAAGUGUUUAUAACUUGUCAUAUAACUAUAUACAAAUAUUUUAAUCAGAUUAAAUAGACUUUAUAAGAGAUUUCAAUAAACUUGAUUGUUGGCUUAUAUAAGAAAAUUAUACAACAACAUAGGACGUUGACAUCUUUGACCGACUAAACAUAUCUAAUUUUCCUUGAUUGAGUAAAUAUAUUUUUAAAGUAUAUAAGACAUUCAUUUAAUUUUGUUGUACAAAAACUUCAUGUAUAUUGUCGCAACCGGAAUAUCGCGACGGGACGACGAUCCAAAAAGAUAAAACGAAUUUGAAAAAAAGAUUGGAGUCGCCACCAUAGUUUAUUCUGAAAAACUACGGAAAAACCAUAAAAUGAUAAGGCACGGUCCACGAAAACCAAAGAUUGGGUUCGGGAGUCGGUUACGUGUAGGGAAAGUAUCAGCACCCUACAACGCCUGCCCGAAGGCGGUACCUUUAAUCAAAUGCGCGAAUUUAAUGUGGUUUGCAAAAUGUUUAAUUUCCCCUAAAAAAUAAAACUCUAAAGAAAACAAAAUAUUUUUUUUAUGUUUUUUUGUGCCCGACAAGGAUUGACCUUGCUCCUACGUAUUCUCAGUUGGACUGGGAAAUCAGGGUUACGUAGUUCUUUAAUCGUUUGGAAAAUUUGUUUGAGAAAUUGUUUGAGAAAUUUGUUUGAGAAAUUGUUUGAGAAAUUUGUUUGAAAAAAGAUUUGAAUUUUUUUGGAUUUUUGGGAAAGUGAGCCUGACAAGGACUAGCCUUGCUCCUACGUAUCUCCACUUUGGAUGGAGAAUCAAGGAUCACAUAGUUCUACGUUGGAAAAUGUUUUUAGUUUUUGAAGAUUUUUAUAUUUUUUUUGGUAUUUUUUUUAUAAAAGAAAGAAAAAAGGUUUUCAGCACAAGGCAGACAGAAUGGUCGCACGUGUGCUUAAACCUUUUAAAAUAAUUUUUUUGUUAAUUUUUUUGAAAGAAGAAGAAGAAGGUUUUUUAGCACAAGGCAGACAGAAUGGUCGCACAUGUGCUUAAACCUUUUAAAAUAAAUUUUGGUUAAUUUUUUGAAAGAAGAAGAAGGAUUUUAGCACAAGGCAGACAGAAUGGUCGCACGUGUGCUUAAACCUUUUUAAAAUAGUUUUUUGUUAAUUUUUGAAAGAAGAAGAAGAUUUUUAGCAGAAGGCAGACAGAAUGGUCGCACGUGUGCUUAAACCUUUUUUAAAAUAAUUUUUUGUUGUUUUUGAUAUUUAUUUAAAAGUAGAUAAAGUAAAAUAAAUAAAAAGUAGAAAAUGGAAAUAAAAUAAGUAGGUAAAUUACUAAAUAAAAAUAAAGAGUAAAAAUAAAAAUAAAAUGAAAACUUUAAUGAUAAAAUAAAAGGUGUGGUGGUGCUUAGAUAAGAGAUUGGGCGUCUAAACUACUUAUUUAAAAAAAACUGUUUGGGCCCAAACCCAAGGGUCUAGGGGUGUGAAAAUGAAAAAAACGGGGGUGCAAACCUAUUUAGUUCCUAUAAGAGACUGGGCCAAGCCCAAGUGGACAGGGGUGCGAAACGGAAACAAAGGGGUGCAGAAAGGAUUUGUAUUUUUUGGUAAGGCUUGAGUCCGAAGAGAAAGGAGGGUGUGAAAUUAGAACAAAAGGGGGUGCACGGAGGAAAAGUAUUUUUUUUGUUUAUUAUUUUUUUUUAAAAUGGCAUAGGGACUCAGGCCCAAGACUCUUCAGCAGAAAAAAUAGGGGUCUUCAAGCUCUCCCUCUCAUCUCAGCGUUCACACUCCAAACCCCAGAGCUAGGGUUCCCUUGAGAAAAAGAAAACCAUGAAGGUUUCGCGUCCCCAACUCGCACGCGCCACCAUCAGCGGCUCCAGCCAAGCGGACCAGCCACCACGAGGGGUUGUCGACGGCGACACCAACGCCUUCGGCGGAAGAACCACCGCCGGUUGCGCCGGACCACCGUCUUGCACUUUCUUCUUCGCGCGAAACCAGCCCCAACUCCGAGAACCCAUCGUUCCCGCCGCCGUUGACGAAACCAAUGACCACAAGCCGCGAACCAAGGUCGCGCCGGUAACGCUGCUCGUCGCCGGCCGUCGGGUCUUCUCCCUUCCUUCUCCUUUUCCCGCACGAGAAAAGCUCUCUCUCGCUCCUUCGUCAAACACCGCCUGAGCGAUCCUGGCCACCAUGAAGCAGAGCACCUCCGUUCCACAGGUCGCGGCUAAGGUCGCCGCCGGACCUCACGUUGACGUCUUCCACCGCCAUGGCCAAAUCCACUUCCACCCAAAAUCGUCACUGCGCCAGCCACCUCUAGGAAUCCCACUGUUUAGCUAUCAGAGAAAACAGCCCCAAAGGCUUGCCGAGACAAUGCUUGGGGGUUUGCUUAUUUCCUGUGAGAAUCAGGAUGGUUCUUGAAUGAUCGGAAGCUGACCUAGACGAUGAAACUAUUGUAUAUAUUUUUUAUUUUAUAUUUUUUUUUUGCAGGGAAAUGACUUUGGGGUUACUGACAUUUCCAUAAUGAAACUGAGAUUAUGAGUGGGUGAUGAUGUAUCUGCUUAGAUGUCUCUCUCGCAGGAAGAUGGUCACAGGGGUUUGCAUGGUAUAAGCGAAGAUUGAUGAAGGAUAAUGGGUGUUUUGUCUCUGUUUGCAGGUUUGUGGUAAGGCAUGUUUUUGUUGUUAUGAAGCACGAAUGACAAACAGUAUGUGGAAGCAAAUCAUGUAUAUCGUCAAACAGAAUGGAUAGGAAAAGAUGACCAAGAUAUGCAUACAACACUCAGAAUAUUCAAUGACAACCAUUCAUAAGCAUACAAAGGUAUUCUAACAGCUCAGGAAUAUUCCACAACAACCAUACAUAAGCGGUAGAGUAAAAAGGCAUUCUAACAGCGAUUGUGAAAUAAGUUUACUCGUUUACCGCUUGGAGCUUCCUUAGUACGGUUGCUGUGACAUGAUGAAUGAAGUUUGUGCUGAUGGGGAAGAAAGUAGACUACUAUAGUGGCCGAGUUUCUGUGCUAUUGCUAACUUCAUACCCCUGAUGAUCUCCUCUCUCCUCUUGGCCGGCUCCUCUUUUGUUUCUUUGUAGGUGAACGGAGGUUGCAGAUGUGCGAAGGAUGGCGUCUCAGCUUGAAAAAAAGGAAAAAAUUGGGUAGAGGAUUGUGCUUGUAUGCGUGAUGGGGGAACCGUUUCUGUUGAGUGAAUAGAGAGUGAAUCGGAGCUGAGAGUAGUGUGUGUGUGAGGGAGGAUGAUGUUGCUUCUGUUAGCCCCCAAGAACCCUCUUCUUCUCCCCCUCCAAGAUAUUGAAGCAAUUUGAUACCCACCAGACGCUCCUCCCUGUCGCACUGCCUCCAGGAAGAUCAGAGCAUAUCUCUUUCUUGGGAUUUCUUUUUUUGUCUUUUCUUUCUUUUUCUGCGUUUAGAUUGGAUCAAAUAACCAAAGCCGUUCAAAUUUCUUUUCCCGUAUGAUGUUUGAUUGCAGAAACUGUGUAAGAAAUUCACAGGCUUUUCCACGCUCCCAUUGUAUGGGAUAUGUUGAGUGUUUAACGAUACCUGAUGCACUGUUGCUUUGAGUUGCAGGAAAAAGCAUAGUUGACUCUUUUGUGAUUUUUGUUUCUUUCUGUUUUUUUUUUCGUUUUCUUUUUUUUUUCGUCUUUUUUUUUGUUUUCUUUUUCUUUUUUUUUUCUUUUUUUUUUUUAAGUAAAGGAAGAUAAAAAUAAAAAUAAAUAAUAAGACUAAGGUACAAAUUGAAUAAAAUAAACACUCUAAACAAAAAUUAAAAAAAAUAAAAAAGUAAAACAAACUAAAAAUAAAAUAAGAUAGUAUAAUUCAAUAACAAAACAAAAUAAAAUUAGAGUAAAAACUAUAUAAAACAAAAUAACGAAAAUUAAAAUAAAAUAAAUAGGGUAAAAUAAAUUUACUUAUUUGACUACCGGACGAAAUUGGGUAUUGACAUAUAUUUCUAUCUCACACACAUAAACAAACACACACACAUAGACACAUACAAACACACACAGACACGCACAAACAUGCACACACAAACGCACAAACAUAUACAGACACACAAACACACACGUACACACAUACACACACAUGCAUACACACACACAUAGAGACAAGCACACACAAACACACACACACAGAGACACACACACACACACAUGUAAGACCCUUGAAAACAAUUGUAAUUAGAUUGCUAGAUUUUUAGAAAUAAAUAGAAAAUUUUUAUGUAUAAAUGCUAUAGUAAAAUAUGUAUAAUGCUACGUACAAUGCUACAGUGAAAUGUGUACAGUGCUAUAGUGAAAAUACCUCAUGAAUCAUGUGUUGCUACAGUACUGCUACAGUAAAAAUUUAGUACAAGUCACAGUACUAUACAGUAAUCCUAACUCCAACUAUAAAUAAGGGUGAGGAAAUAAAGUUUUUCACAAGGAGAGCGAAACUAUCAUAAAAAAUAAGGAGAUAUUAGGACUAGAAUCUGAGUUGUAGAGAAGGUAGCAAGAGAUCCUGAAGAGGUAUUCUUCAUUCAGGAAGGAACGAGAAUCAAGUAAGAGGAGCUAACCCUUCUAUUUUUUUUAGGUUAACAAUUUAAUAUAUGAAUAUUCAUGCUUUGAACUUUUGUAUGUUUAUGCGUUGGUUGUAUAAAUCUUUAUGCCUGGAAAUUUAUGUGUGUAUUGUAAUGAAAAACUAUGUCAUUAUUUUAAAUCUGUGAAUAAGAAAUUGGGUUAAAAACUAGUUCAGGAACACUUUGGCUAGGAAAGACUUGGUACUUAAGUUGUCCGUUGUGACGCACGUCUCUUUCCUGGAAGUCUACUCGAUGAAUUUUUAACUUAAUCCUUAUUGAACAGAUUAUGUACUGCUAAUUUAUUUUACUCAAUUGAUAUUAAAUUUGUGAUUUUUUUUCAUAUGCAGACUAUAAAAAAAUGUUAGAAUGAAUACUCAAUCAAAUGGUGAAAUUUCAAUCGUUGACAUGAUUUUCCAUUUUUAAAGCUACUUUAAAAAAAAAAUUCUAAUUGCCACUUAAUGUACUGAUAGAUCAAUCUAGAAAUUCAAUAUAUGGUUCAUAAGACAUAGUAAUUAACUUUGGACGUCACGAUUGUAAUUUGAGGAUUAUAUUUAGAGGAAGAAAUGUUGAAAUUUUUAGUAGAAUGAUCAUCACUUUAUUACUAUCUCUAACUUAUUUCGGAACAACCUAAACCUCCAUUUCGUUUACCUUCAGAUUAAGUUGAAAUUUUGAUAGAUGAUUCCUGAGACAUACUAUUAUAUUUCGACUUCUAAGAUUUGUGAUUAGAUUGAUGAUCCAUAAAUUUCAGACUAUGUAAUGAAUAAUUAUAACUUCGGACUAUUAUCAACUGUAUUCAAAAUUAAUAAAUCUCACUUCCAUAACAAAUAAAUUCAUACUACUUGGAACUAAAUUAUAUUACAAACAAAUACUACAUUUUUAAAAAAGAAAUCAUUUCACUAAAUUAUAAUUUAUUUCAAUUUUUAAAUUUAUUUUUAAUAAUUAUUCUAAAUGUUUUACUCUUAAUAAACAUUUUUACAAUUAAAUAUAACAUUAACAAAUAUCAUUUUAUAUUACUUUAAUACCUAGGGGCAUUUUGGUAAUCUUCAUUUUCUAAGAAUUAAACAAUUUUUUUUUAACUGUCACAUCAAUCAAAUCCUACACUAAUUUCCACAAACUUUACCUCUAAUCCACCCUUAAUUACCUUCAAAUCUAGUCAAAUAAACACAAAAAAAAAAUCACCCUCAAAUCCCCUCAAAUCCACUCAAUCACUCUCUCCCAAUUCAUCUCAUGUGAACACACUGUAAGAGUUGGAAGUGAUUGAAAAUAUUGACUAAUGAUUAAGUGUAAGAUGUGAAUGACAUAUUACAUGGAGGAGUUUCUAUUUUUAUUUUAGAUGUUUCUUAAGAUACUCUUAAUAAUAUUGUUGUUACUGAUUUAUUGACUUUUAUGCAUCUAGAAUGAUAAUCAAUAAUACAUCUUAGUGGUCUAGAGGAUAUUUUGGUUAAUUUGUUAUAAGGAGAGAGGGAUUUUGAUAUAGUAAAAUGUGAGAAGAUAAUCUAUGAAAAGUGGUAAUGGUGGUAAAAUUGAUCUUUUACGUCAUAUGAUUUACAUGUCAGAAUAAAUGAUAAGACAGUAAAAAAUUGUUGUGACAUUCUUUUUAAUAAGAGUAACUUUUUUAAAUUAGGUCUUAUAAGGUUCGACAUAAAUUUUUGUUGAGUACAAGUUCUAAUGUAAAUGAGUCUUUUUAUGUCUGACAACAACGAGUUUGAUGUAAAUGAGUUUUUUUAAAUAGGGUCCCGUUAUUUUAACAACCCAUUUUUAACACACAUUUGACAACGCCUGUUGUCAACAUUCAAUUAGUCCUUUUUCAUUUUUGGUUUUUUGAAAAAGUUGUCCUCGAAAGUGAAGAGUGGUUCAGAAAAUUAGAUUUCCAACUAUACCCUUGUCCUGUUUCAUUAGAAACGAAGCUUCUCUCUUCAUUUUCGCAGAAAAGCUCCGCCCUUUUGCGUCUUCGUUCUCCUUGUGGGUGUUCGCAGUUCGUUCUCGUUAUGGGUGUUCAAAAUGGUAAGUUCUGGUGAGCAUCUUCGGUUGACCAAGGUAAAUGUGUUUUUCCACUAUCUUCUUCUCGGUUUGAGUUUCGUGCUUUUUGUUUUGGUGUUUAGAUUUUUGUUGUUUUCGUUGAGCAGUUGACCGUUCGUCACUCAUUUUCAAUAAAGAACGUUUGUACUUUGAACGAACAUCUGACAGAGGAGCAACAUUUAGUGAUUGCGAUGACUCCAUUUGCUUAGUUUUUAGACUUGAGUGGUAAAGUUAUGUUUAAUAACAAAAUAUUAAGGGAGUUAUUGUUGAAAUGGGUGGAUUCGAGCAAUGCUUUUGUAAUUGGAGAAAAAGUUGUGAAUAUGAUUUAAAGUGAUUUUUGUUUAGAUUAGGGUUGAGUUCAGAUGGUGAUAUUAUAAACUUAAAGGAUACAAUGGGUAGAAGUAAAUGUGUGAAAUACUUAAGUAAACGUAGUGGACGAGUGUUUCCUAUCAUGUUUGAAAUUGUUGACAACUUAAGUGGUCUGAGUAAUUACUGUUGGGGUAGUUUAGUGUAUCGUUAUUUGUUAAAAAUUUUGAGCAAAGCUUCAAAUGCUGUGAAGAAAGGCAAAGCUACAACCAACGUUUAUGUUAAUGGUUGUGUUUACAUGUUGCAGGUAUUUCUUAUUUAUUUAUUUGAGAAAUAAAUUAUUGAAUAUUUGUUAUUUGAUUAUCAGUAAUUUAUAACAAUUACAUGUUUUUUAGGUAUGGCUUUGUGAGAAUUUCAUUCCUCCCAAAGGUGCAAUAGAGAAAUUUCCAAGGAUCUUCCAUUGGAUGAAUAGGAAUGUGGGAGACAACAUCGUCAAACGUGUUUUGGAGAUGAGUGUGGUAUGUGUUGUGUUAUUUUGCUUGUGAAUGUUAUGAUAUAUUGACAGUAGUUAUAUAACAUGUUAUGUAUUGUUAAAUUUCAGGUUGAUGUUGUUGAUGAUUUUAUUGCUGCAAUGAAGGAUAAAGAGGAUGUCAAGGAAAAAAACCACCACCAAAAAGGAAUGAUGAGCAACGAUCAACAAAAAAAAUGCUUAAAAGAAAAUGCAGAGAGAGUUUGAUGCGUACUCUAGAGGAGCAAGAAUUUGUAAUUGAAGAACUUAAAAGGAAGGUCAAUGUCCUAGAGGCAGAGUUGGCGGAAGAGAAGGCCAAAAGAACAACUAAAAGGAUAACUAAAGAUGAUGGUGAACAAAGUGUUGCAAGUCCACAACCAUUCGGCAACAGUAAAAGUGCCUUUGUUUCCUCGGGUGGAAUAUCAAACAACGAACUAGGUGGAGUGUCCAACAACGAACAAGGUGGAAUGUCGAAGAACGCACCGGGUGGAAUGUCCAACAACCAAUCACAUUUGAAGACGUAUGUGAGGAUUUGAUCAAGAAGGCGUUAUAAGAGCCAAACACUUAGGACACCGUACACCAGAAAUGUAGUACUUAGAAAAAAAAAUGACUAAUUAUUGUAUUAAGUUUUUAAACAUACUUCGCUCAAUAUAUAGAAGAUGCAUGUUUGAUCAUCUAUUUAUGUAAUUUAUAUUUGCAAUUUUAUUGCCUAUGUUAUUGAAGUGCUUUAUAUUUUGAUUUGGUAUACAAUUUAAAUUAUGAAGACUCCAUUUUUAGCAAGUGAUAAUGUUUGUGAGACAAGAAUGAAAUAAUGUUUGUGAUUUGAUGAAUUUAGCUGAAUUGGUGAAGAUGGUGCUGCUAAAAUGUGCACUGUAAUCGUUUACAAAGGGUGUGUAAAUGAUUACGCGAGUCAAACUUGGAUUUUAGACAACCUGUUGAACUGAAGGAGCCACCAGUGAUAACGCAGGGACCACAGUUCAAUAGUAGUGUAUUUUGACCCAAGUCCAUUGCUUUUUAUUGUAAUUUGUUGUUUAUGUGUGAGGAAUGCCUUCAAGUUAAUGUUUUUGGUCCCCCAUGAUGGAGGAGGGACCACCCAUGUUCAGAUCAUGGAGUGAGACCUCUGCAAGAAAAAUGUGCAUUGUAAUAGUUUACGAGGGGGCUGUAAACGACUAUGCGAGUCAAACUUCCGUUUUGGACAACCUGUUGAACUGAAGGAGCCACCAGUGAUAACGCAGGGGACCACAGUUCAAUAACAGUGUAUUUUGACCCAAGUCCAUUGCUUUUUAUUGUAAUUUGUUGUUUAUGUGUGAGGAGUGCCUUCAAGUUAAUGUUUUGGGUCCCCUAUGAUAGAGGGAAGGACCACCCAUGUUCAGAUUAUGGAGUGAGCUGAUGUCUUGCGACCUCUGCAAGAAAUAUGUGCAUUGUAAUAGUUUACGAGGGGGCUGUAAACGAUAAUGCGAGUCAAACUUCGAUUUUGGACAACCUGUUGAAUUAAAGGAGCCACCAAUGAUAGCGUAGGGGACCACAACUCAAUACCAUUGUUUUUUGACUCUAAUUGAGUUCCUUUAAAUAGUAAUUGGUUGUUUAUAUGUGAUUUUCAAUUAUUUAACUGUCCAUUAAAUACGCGAUUAUCUUACUAUUUAACAUUUUGUCAAAUAUAAUGCGCGAAACAUUCAACCAACAUUUAACAUGAAAAUAAAAAAUUUCCAUACACAAUUUGAGUAAUAAAAACACUACAAUAUUCCAGUAAUGCAUAAAAGAUCCUAAUGAAAGCAAAUACAUGUAAACAACAAAUUCUAACUACGAGUGAAAUGAUAAAAGGGGGUGUGGGACUGCUGUAGUCGAUUCUCAAUGUUCCCAACUCGUGAUUCUAGGGCGUCAAAUCUUGUAGCAACGUAGGUCUGGAGUUGUUGUCCAAUGUGUUUUAUGACAUCAUCUAGUGUUGUAGAACUCGUGACAUUAUCCUGGACUUGUCCGCGUUGACGUUGUUGAUUGGCUGUGUUGUCUUUCGGAAUCCACACUUCGUCUUCAUUUUGCACAACAAUAUAUGGAGAUUCGAACCCACCACUACACAACAUUACAAAAACAUUGCUAUUAGUUAACAAUGCGAGGAUAUAAAAUACACUACCAAAAAAAUACUAAAACUUCAACUUACUUUUGGGUUUUGGGCUGCCAUUGCACCUGCACUUAUAUGACAAACCAAAAACAAUGGUGGAGAAGAUGAUUAAGGUUGACAAAACACGAAAACAAAAAAUGCUCCAAAAUUAGGGUAGGCUUCGCGUGCUUUUACUUACUAAAACAAUCGAGAAAGGCGUCAAGGAAGAGAGAGGGCAUAAUGCAAGAGAGAGGUUUUGCGGAUACACAGAGCAAGCGAGACGAGUGCUUUGACAAAAAACGAAAACAAAAAUUGCUCCAAAACGAGGGUAGGGUUCGUAAGCUUUUACUUACCAAAACAAUCGAGAAAGGCAUCAAUGAAGAGAGAGGACACAACGCGAGAGAGAGGUUUUGCGGAUACACAGAGCAAGCGAAACGAGUGCUUGGGAGAAAAGACAACACGAAAGUAAACGAAAGAUGAAACGUGAUGCGAAAAAAAAAAUUGAUAUCUUCAGGUUUCCAAAAUUACCCUUGCCAUAGAAUUUCAACCUUUUUUUCUUCUUAAAAACUAGCCAGUAGACACACACCACGUGGCGUUGUCAAAUUGUUGGCAAAAAAAUGUUGUUGAACAAACGUUUUCAUUUUAAAUAUUGUAUGCAACUUUUUUUUUCUUUACUUUUUCUUCUUUGAAAACCUAUGCAUGCAACUUUUGUCUUAUUUGAUGAUGAUCCUGGAUGUGUGGAGACUUCGUUAGUGACCAAAAUAGCUUAUUUUCUUAAUCUUUUGGGGUGGUUUAUUGUGGGAAAAAAUUUUGUCCAAUUGCAUUUGUGUAUUGAGGUUAGUUUUUUAAACUUCUACUUUGCUCACAUUCAAAAGGGCUUGUUUUAGGUAAACUAUGUGAUGCCUCUCUUUGUUGUUGAUGGACUUUUUGAUGUGGUUAUAUAUGUCUCGUGGUAGUGGCUCUAAUUGCAUUGAGGUUUUAUGGGUCAAAUAUGUCAUCCAAGUAUGUGUUAUAUGUCUCCAUUGUAUGUGUUCUGUAUUUUUAUAGAUUUUCAUUCUAUCAUAUUGUCAUAGAUGUUUUAUGGUGGUUGUUUCGGUUAUCUUUUUCUUUAAACAACAAAAAUUUACGUAUUUUACAUACGAGUGUCAAACUUAAAACUAAACUGACAUAAAUAAAUUUAAAAUAACAUACAUAAAAUAUUUUAUUUAGUGUACUUGUCAUUAAUUUUGGAUUAAGUGAUACAAUUAGCAUAGCUAAUGAAAUUUUACCUUAUUGUGUUCUAGACAAUCUCUCACACCCUUCCUUCUAAACCUAAAUAAUAAUAAAUAUAAUUGAACUUUUGUCCUUCCUCACUUCCCCUUCUAAAUUUUAACACUAAGCUACCUUAUUUCUUUUUAAAUACUUUAUUUACUUUUUAGUGUUACAUUUACUAUACUUCAAUUAAUUUAUAUUUUUCAUUAGGAUUGGAUUCAACUAAAAAAAAAAGACUGAGAUGUGUCAAAAAUCUAGAAAGUAAAUUACUGCAAAAGUUGUGAUGGUUGUUUUUUUUUUCGUAGUAAUCAAAAAAUAAUAAUCUUCUUUAAUAUUGUUUAAUUCUUUGCCGAUUAAAUUGAUGGCAAUGAUUUUAAAAGACGUAUCUCAUUCUUAUAUUAUGUAAUUAAAGCAUUGCAAAGAUUACUUAUAUGAAAACUUGAACUACAUCUGAUCUUAUUCAUUGCAUAGUUUUAAAAGGUAACUCUAGAUAACAAAAAUAUUAUGGUAAUCAUCUUUUAGAAUGCAUUACAUGUUGGGCUCAAUAGCACAUUAGGUGGAAAAAAUUUAAUGCAGCUACAUGAUUUAGUUAAUUUUUGUCGUCUUCUAUAAAUUUGUGUAAUUUUAAUUGCAUGCAUUUAUUGUUGUAAAUUUUAAAAUUAAGCAUUUUGAUCUUACCAUUAAAUAUUUAUCAAUUGUGUUUUUUUCUCAUGUUGACCAUGACAAAGCCUAUAAUUUAUCUAAAAGAGCCUAAAUUCAAGUAUGUGGUGAAUGACUUGUGAGUAUUUUAUAUUAUCUAAAGUUUGACCUAUUACUGUCAUUAAAAUAAAACAGAAUAAAAAAAAUUAAAGAACAAAAUUUGUCACAUUAAAACAGAUAGAAAAAAGAAACACGACGAUAUACGCCACGUGUUAGCAGUGCAGCUGAUUUCCAAAAUUUCCUAAUGCAAUGGUCUAUUGCCGAACUGGAUUGAAAAAACACAAUUAUUUUAUUUUCCUAACUCUUUUAACUAAAAAAUAAAAGUCUACAGAAAUCUUUUGAUAAUUUAUAGUCUUAUCGAGUGAUAAUCUUAACGAGGGACUAUUAUAUAUUCGACUUUUAAAUAUUAAAACAAAUUAAAAAAAUAUAUAAUAUUUUGCACAAAAUCUUUGCCUUUUGUUAUAGAGAGGAAAAUAUACAUCUGAUUAUGCGAAAAAAAAAAAUUAUAUCUUUCAAACACACUGUUUAGUCAAUAAAUUUGACUAUCUUCUUCAUAACCAUUUUCCCAUCGUGUCUAUCCCAAAUACGACAAACCACCAACAUCAACAGAAACCCUUGGCUACAAAAAAAGAAAUUAUUAUUAUAUGUUCAAACAUGGUGUUCUCAUGAAAUAAAAAAUGUGUUAGGUAACGACCAAGAGUUCCAAAGUAAAAUACACAAAACUGAAUAAUAUUAUUUAUAUAACAAUAUGUUUGUAUGUACCUAGAGAUAAAAUAAUAAAUAUAAAAUAAAAUAUGAGCGUGUUUUUUUAUUUAUUUUAUUUUGAUCACUAUAAAAGAAAAAAAUGGUAUUUUGUCUCUCAGUAACUUAAAAUUAAUGAUUUCAAUAUAUAUAAAAGCAAACGAUUUUUGUCUGUAUUUUUCUUUAAAAAAAAAAAUAAUCACUUCAAACCAUUGAUUCAAAAAAUUCAUUAUACGGUAACUAAGUUACUUAAUCUAAAUUUAAAAAAAAAAAAACAGAUAAUAACGUAUAUACUAUUAAUGAUUAUCAUAUAAAAUAAAGGACAUUAUAUUUUUUGGUGUAGAUAUUUUUAUUUUUUUACUUUUAAAGCAGUUUAUAAAAUUAAAAUAAUCAUCUUACCAAUUCUACUCACUAAAUGACCAUUUUUUAAAUUUAAUCAUUUUUAAAAUUAAAAUAAACUAUGUAUAAUAAAUUACCUACAGAAUACAUAAAAGCUAUUUAUAAUGAAAUUAUAAAGACUAUCUACACUCACUUUUGUAAUAAUAAUAAUAAUAAUAAUAAUAAUAAUAAUAAUAAUAAUAAUAAUAAUAAUAAUAAUAAUAAUAAUAAUAAUAAUUUUAUUAUUUUUUAUUAUAUUUAUAUAUUAUAUAUGAGCGUUAUUUUUUAAUAUAAACAUUUGACAUUAAGGCUGAUGAUUGUCUAAUGUUAGUUGUAAUAAACCUAAAAUAAAAUUUCAAUUUCUUGAAGUAUAAAGUAAUGAUAAAGACUCUCACAUCCUAAAUAUACGACAUGCAUGUAAUAUAGUCUAGAGGUCAUCAUUUAGAAUAAAGGAAAGCAGUCAAGAGUAAAUUAAUGUAUAAAGGAUUACAGUCAUCUUUGAAAUAGUGCUGGGAAUUUAAAGCUUAGAGUUCUAGAAAGUAUCUCAAAAUAAAUUGAACAAAAGUGUUUCAAUAGAACAUAAAGAACUAAGAAGGCCCUAUGGAAUCUAUGCAGCAUCCUCGUUCUCCUCCAACACAUGCUCCAAGGAGGUCUCUCCUUCUUCUGUUCACAUCCAAAAUGAAUGAUCAUCGCAACAUGGCAGCACACACAACAUGGCACAACACAAUAGACAAACAAUUGCAAGGGUGAGCUAAUUGUAUAUAUAAAACAUGCAGCAUAUCAAGCAGAUAAAACACACAUCCUAUACAUGUUAUAUUCUAGACUUGACUCGUCCGGACAUAGAAUGAAAGUCGAGCUAUGAUGGGUCUUGCACCCGUGGUGACUUAUGAAGCUUGGGUUCCCCACCUUGUCACACUCACGAGGUUAGCCUGUUCCGCGCCUUGAGGCAUACUGGGAGCCCCCAAAACUAAGACCUCCUACUACUCCUCACCACAUGGUUCAAUCUCUCUAGAUGAGCUUGAUUGACCAUUGGAGUGUCAAGAUGACCCCCAAGACUCUUCCCAUACUUUCAUUCUAAACACUAAGAAUCUCACCGAGAGAUUCUACACAGAUGGAACUUAGUUUACCACUUGGAUCAUACUUUCAUCACUUUGUAAUCAUAUACUUUUUGCCACAAUUAACACACACAAUCUCAACAAUAUACAUUAACUCAUUCAUCACAAGUUAUAAAAGCAACAGUUUCAUAAUCUAUCAAUACCAGAAUCUUUAUAAUUUAUUUUCAAUGCCUACACUCAUAUAUACUGAAAACAUGUUUCCUUUAAUUCUAUUAUAAUAUUAUAAAUUAUUAUGAACAUCACCAACUAUUACUAUUUUCUUUUAUACAUACAUACGUAUUAAUUUUUCUUUUAUAUAAUUAUAUUAUAUUAAUAGAAUACGUACUCUCUGUUACUAAUUAAUAUAUAUAUAGUAUGAUAUUAAUAAUCAUUAAUAUAUAUAUAUAUAUAUAUAUAUACUCUGUUAUAUUAUUAAUAUUAUAUAUAUAUAUAUAUAUAAUAUUAUUAUCAUACUUUAUAUUUUCUAACUCCAACACUUCUUCUAUAAACUAACCACUGCAGCAUGGCUCCAUUCUAUUCACCCACUUCCUUUUCUUUCCAUAACAUAAAUCUAUUAAACAAAAUUACAUAACCAAACUUUCCUAAUCCUAAAUUAACACCACAACUCCUAAUUAAUUAUUUCCCUAUUAAAAUAUCACAUCAAUCAAGAUUUUUAAUCUUUUCUUAAUUUCUCUCUCUCUUUUUUUUUUUUAACUAACAUAAGACCCAUUCUCACCUACCCACUUAUUUAACAAAACAAUUCAAAUUAAAGAACCCUUUUUUUUUUCUUCCCACGCUGCCUAUUUCCUCUCUGUUACCAUUGUUCUUCUCUUUUUAAAUCUUCACCUCUCUUUCCAUUUAAGUGGGACCCACGGAUCUCACACCUAUGCACUCUAAAGUCAGAAACAAAUCCUCCCUUAUACUUCCCACACACUUAAUAAAUAAACCAAUUUCUCCUCUGCACCUCAACGUACCAUGACAAAAGCCUUCCCAUGCAACCAUUGAGUAGCUCUCUUCCUCCUCUUUAUUGAACACCUAAAUUUAUUUUAUAAUAACAAAACACCACUGUCCCUUACUCAUAUUACUCAUGUAANUCUACGUUUUUUUCCAAGGCCCCUCCACAAGUCACUCUCCCCCUUCUUUCCUUUUUCUUCCACAAACCGAGACCCAUAAAACACUACCCCAAAAUUGAUUCUCUUUUUAAUAACACAAACUUUUUCACUUCCAAACAGUUCAAUCUAUAACCAUUAAAGUCAAUAAAAUCAUACACAGGCAAGCCAUCAUAAAUUAAACAUACUCAUUUUUCAUCAGUUUCAUAACUCAUCACAUAUCCUUCAAUAUUCAUAAAACUUAACAUGCAAUUCCAAAAUAGCACACCAAAAUAAAAUUCACCAUAUAUGUAGAGCAUAUAAACAAUUCAAAGAAACAUAACUAGCUCCCCUUACUUUUUGGUUCUCACAGCAUAGUUCCUAGAAAACGCCCUAACAGUACCUCCACACAGAGGUAAUUUCGACAGUACCUACAAGCCACCAAUUUGGUGUAGAGCAUAGACUUUAGGGCUUGAUAGGAUAAGGAAAAUAAAAAUAACUCUACUUGCAAGGUAGAACCUUUGCAUGAGUAAAACACUAGGGUGCGGAGAAUGGGAAAUUUACCUUAUCAGUGGAGAGACGCGAAACUAAUCGGAUGGAUUGGAAACUCUCAACUCCGAGAACGUAGGGGCACCACCUAUUUGGAAAAGCAAUGGUAGAAAUUUGAGAAAAGGGUAGAGAGAAGAUGGAGCAAGGUUUAGAGAGAAGACGGAGCUUCUAAAGAACCCAACUUUUAGAGAGAGAGAGAGAGAGGGAAGCUAACAAAUGAGUCCUAAUUUCUGAAAAAUUUCUCUCUAAGGUCAGGUUGUCCCUAACCUUAUGGGCUUGACUGUCUCACAUAAGGCCCAAUGGCUUUAAAAAUUUUUAGGCCCUUACAAAGACCAAAAUGAAAACACAUUACUUAAAAAUUUAUUUAAGACAAAACAAAUGCUUAUUAAGUUGUUGUAAAAUUUUAUUGUAUAAUUAAUUAACAAUAAUAUUAUCUUCCGUUCCAAAGGUUGACUGUGUCUAUAUUAUAUUAUUGGAUUUUUGUUUUUUUUAAAACUUCCGUAUUAUUCUACUAAUAAGCAUUAUUUUGCAGCCAUAGGAGACUUGCUUUUUAAUAUGCAACGGAACUACAACGUACUCAUGUGUAAUCGCUGAGUCCAAAAUGGACGAAGGAAACCCUAAAAUUGAAUCUCUCUCCACUGUGAAUAUCUUGCAUUUACCAAGGAAUGUACAGCCAACUUGUUAGUGACCAACUUCCUUUGCCAUGCCUUCACGUUUUAUUUCAUUGUUUUUGUUUCCAAAAAACAAAAAAAAAAGGGGUUAAACUACUUCUGUAGUCCUUGUAGUCCUUAUUUCUGUUGGAUUUUUUUAAAUAGGUCUUUUUCUUAAUUUCUUUUUCUAAUUAAGUCUUUAAAAGUAAAAUUUGAAGCAAUUAGCUUUUUGUCAUUAAAUUGGAUUAAUAGGAUUAAGUUUUUCAUGAUUUGAGAGUUUAACGUGGAAUAUUUUUAGUACAUGACAUAAGGAGAGGGUUUUACAUGGAAUUGAUUAUAUGAAACAUUUAAAAAUUAAGUUUUUUGAAUUGUAAAAUAAUAUGAGCAAUUAAGGUUCCAUUAAAAUUAGUCAUGCACCCAAAUCUCACCUUAAUUCUCUUUAUUCAACACUUAACACAGGGAACACAAACAAGGAAACAUACCUUAAAAUUAUAUUUUCAAACAAAAAACACAAAAAGGGAAACAUACCUUAAAAGCCCUCUGAAUGUUGAUUAAUCGCAACAGUGAUAGCUUAAUCAGAUUCUCCUAAUAAUGCUUGUGCCCACCUUAUAAAAAACAAAGCGAUUAAGUUUUUUUGGAGUUCACAAAUUUAGGUAUUUAGGAAUAAACUAACAUUACUUACCAAAUGAGUCUUCGAUUGACCAAAUCCACACAACGAACACUGACAGAUGACCAGAAGAUCAAGAGUGCGAGUGCGAGGGUUCAACUACUAAAGACUAAGGGUUCGAGUAAGGGAGAACUUUUGAGUGAGAGAGAACGAGGCCUCAAGAGCGACACCAAGGUUCUAGUGAGAGAGAACGAUGAUUUGAGGAGGGAGAAAGAGGUUCGAAUGAGGGAGAAGGAGGGCACAACUGAGGGAGAAGGAGGGCUCGAUUAAGGGAGAAGGAGUGCGAGACCAGGGUUUCAAUGGAGAAUGAUGGUUCAACUAAGGGAGAAAGAGGUUUCCUUCUAAUGAUGGAGAAGGAGGAUUGAGUGAGGGAAGAGCAUAUCUCGACGGAGAAGCAGGGCGCGAGGGAGAAGGAAUGAAAUAACUUCUACAAAGUCACCUUAACAAAAAAAUUUUAAAAUAUUUUAAUUAGUAAUUGUGUCAAAAUCCAUAUGUAAAUUAGUAGGUAAAUUUUUUUCAAUUUACAUACAGAUCUAUCAUUGGCAAAGUUUCCGUUAAAACACACUAACAUUGCAUAUGGAUUUUACACAGAAAAAAUGCAUAUGUAAACUUUUUCUCCCAUUACAUACUGAAAAAUCUGUAUGUAAUGCAAUUUUAAACAUCCAUAAGUAAAAUCCAUAUGUAACGAGUCAUUUACCUACUGAUCCAGAUUCAUAUGUAAUAAUCUAUAAGUAAUUUGCAUUUUUCUUGUAAUGUUUAUCCAUUUCUGAUUAGAUACUUCUUUAAAAAAAAUUGCGAUUUUUUAGAAUCCAAAGGUAUUCAUAGAGUUGUCAACUUGACCCAUGGUCCAAGGGUCAGCCCUAACCCACUCUUGAAAAAGUUUCCUUUUAGGAAGAUUCUCAAGUGGAAGCCAAAAAAAAGUCAUAAGCGCUAGAACCCCCUCUCAAGUGGAUUAGAGUUAAAGUGGGUUUAGUCUCACUACAAAACUUUAAUUAACUUUUAGAAACAAUAUUAUCUAUAUAUAUAUAUAUAUAUAUAUAUAUAUAUAUAUAUAUAUAUAUAUAAAAUUAUAUUUUUAUUAGAUAGUUUAAUAUAUUGUAAUUUUAUUAUAUUUAAAUCAAUAUUUUUAUAUCAUACUUAUUAAUAUGUUAUUAAAUAAAAUAUUUAAUAAGACUUCAUACUUUUUAAGUUUUCAUAUAUUAAAUAAAAUAUAUAUUUUUAUAUCAUACUCAUAUACAACAAUCUCCAUGUACGAAAGAAGACUUCAUAUAUAUUUCUCAUAUAUCACCAUACGACCAUGUCAAGUAUUUAAUAAUUUUAUUAAUUUCUAACUUUUGUAAAAAAAACUCGAAUUAUCACUUUUAACAUUUUCUCUAACCAAAUAUAGUCUUUGUUAAAAAAAUGUUCAUUUAAAUAAAUAAAAUGACUUUUCUUUGUCUUAAUUAGAUUUUAAUUUCUUUAAAAUCAAAUAAACAUUUUAAAAGAUAUAAAUGACUUGCUUAAUUAAUAAAAUAUGUAUUUUUUAUAUUGUGUAUGUGUCUCUGUGUGUGUUGUAACACCCCAAACAUUUUCAAGGGUAUUACGAGCAGUAAAAUUUGAAUUUAAUAUUUGAUCUCCAUAAUCAAAACAUUAUUUUAAUUUAACAAACAUACAUUUUCAAACUUACAAACUUUAAAUAACAUAGUCUUCACCAUAAGUUCAAAAUUAAACAAUUUUAUGAUACAAUUCAUUCUUGACAAAAAGCCCUUGAAAGAUUUUCCCAUCAAGUCUCUCAUCACCUCUAAGCCCUUUUCGCUGCAUCUGCAACAUUAUCUGCCCACGUAUAACACUAGUUAUACGACCAUAGCACAGAUAAAUAAGAGUAAGUUAACCAUUAACAUAAAAUCAUUAAACUUACUCCUAACAUAUAUAAUUCAAUUAUAUUUUUCUACCAAUCUCUACGCACAAUUAUCCUCAUACAAUUAUUUUACUUACAACACUAUUUCUCAUAUUUCUUCAAAAUCACCAUUUUCAUUCCCAUAAAUCUUAUCAGUAUACCUUGCUUACUUUCAAAGCCUUAUCGCCAGGUCGUUCUGUGCCUGCUUCCUUAAGUCUUAUCAGUAUAUUAUAUUCAUAUUCCGAAGCCUUAUGGUCAGACCGCUCUCUGCCUGCUUCUAUAAAACUUACGAGUACUCUGCUUAUGUCAAAGCCUUAUGGUUAGACUACUCUCUACCUGCUUUCAUAAGCCUUCUGAGUCACUCAAUUUAACUCCACUACUCCUAGUAGUAAAUCUUUAGAUUUCAUUUCAUAAUUAAUAAUUCCUUAUAUUUACUCAAUUCUUUACAAAAUCAAUCACUUCAUCUCAUUCAUCUAGCUUAAUCAUAUUCAAUUAAUAAAUCAUGAAGUGAUAAUAAUCCAUCAUCGUUACACAAUCGUGUCAUUACCCAACAUAAUAACAUUGUUAGUGCAGUCAGGGAGGUGGUUAUUUGUAAGUGUUGAUGUAGCAUUGCGACUACGUUAAAGUCAACACCAACCACAUCAUCAUCUAUAUCUUCAUGGUCCAAGUACGAAAAGUCUAAUUCUUCUUCCAUCUAUAUUUACUUGUUUGUAAUUUACUCCCUAUAUUUAACAUCAUCAUUCAUGUGUUCAUUAAACAUAGUUCAUUCAUUCAUAUAUUCAUUAAACAUUAAACAUAAUUCGUAUAUACAUCAAUACAUUCAUAUAUUGAUUAAAAUUACGAAUAAAAAAUAUGACUCUUCACAAUAACCUCAUUCACAGAUUUAUUAUGAACUACAUACAUAUAUUUACAAACCAUCAUACAUUCAUAUAUUAUAUAUUAAUAUAUUAAGUUAACAUAAUACAUAUAUUUACAAAACAUCAUACAUUUAUAUAUAAGUUAACAUAAUACAUAUAUUUAGAAAACAUCAUACAUUCAUAUAUUAUAUACUAAUAUAUUAAGUUAACAUAAUAGUUAACAUUCAUAUAUUCAACCUCAUAUAUUCAACCUCAUAAACAAGCAAUAAGCACCACUGAUUCACACAUUCAUAUAUUUAUUAAAAAGAAGAACUGUAUAGCACUUACCUCUUGAAGAUCUUGAAGACGUAUAAAGAUUUGAUGGGAUUAAGUAAUAAGCCACUCACAGAUUCUCCAAUCAGAUACGCAAUUUACAAAUUUCAAUUUACAAAAAUAACUAUCACUCUAAAACAAACCAAACCUACAAACAUAAUUAUAUCAAAUUAUUAUACAUAAAAAAUGCUUCAACAAUGCACAAAAAGCUUUGUACAACUUUGGAUGUUACAUUAAAAUGUACCACUUGGCUCCUUGAUGCACCACAAUCCCCCACCUUCACAACCAACCUCGCAGCCACCUCUUUCCAAACAAUGGAAGUGUAUCAAAAUUGGUUAACAAGGCUUUCUUACAAUGUCAAAGUCAUCAUACACUCCUUUUGCAUUAUGAGCAAACAAACUUACAAGCAAUACAAAUUACACACACAAUGUUGUUGAUCAACCUCUACCACCUUGCCUAGCCUACACAGCACAAAAAUGCUCCACUUACUUGCCAAAUCUCCACCACCUUGAUGCAGCUUGAAGCACGUUGCCCCACCACGCUGACAGUACCUCAAACUAGUCAACACCUGCAUCACAAAAAAAGUUGUUCAAAUUUAAUAAAAACUCCAUCAUGCUCUCUUCUUUGCAUGUUAGCUUCGUCUUGUGCUUCAAGGCCCUUCGUGUUGUGCUUCACUAGCCGUCGCAUCGUGCUGCCAUCCUCCACAAUGAUGGACAUCGUCGUUGCUCCUUCAAUGACCAUCACAUGCUUUCUCCAUCCUCCAUCUAUCACGGACAACUUCCUUGACUCCUUCAACCUGCAUCGAUGAGUGUUGCAUCGUCCACCACCAUGGAGAGCAUCCUCCAUCAUCACCAACACCUUCGUCGUCAUUGCAUCGUCCACCACCACAUAGAUCUCAUGGUCAUUGCAUCAUCCACCUUCAUGCUUCUAGUUGACGCCUUCCAAAGUUGCAUCGUCCACCUUCGUCAACAUGACGCUAUAACCACCAACAUGCAAAGAAGAGCGCAGGAAUAAUCGAAUACGACCACUGCAAUCGCGCCUGGAAUCAGAUACAGCUACACGUAACCGAAUACACAACUGGGCUUCGUCUUCUUCAUGGGUGUAAUUGAAUACGCAUAUGUUGUAACCGGAUACAGCUGCACAAUCUUCUUCUCCAUGGCCUGUAACCGAGUACGGCUGUUGCUGUAACCGGAUAUAGCUGCACAUUCACCUUCGUCCAUGGCGUGUAACCAAGUAUAGCUGUUGCUGUAACCGAAUAUGCAGCUUCUUCAUCAUCUUCUCCACCUUUCUCCAGCUUCAAACACUGAUCAAUCACCUCCGUUCUUCAUCUUCCAGCAACCUCAACUUCUUCAUAUACCACUAACCUUGCAAAAUCGACACAAACAUGCUUGCCAUUGUGUCAAUUAACUCAUAUGAUCCUCACCUCAACUUCGUGUUCCUGCUCCUCUUCCAACGCAAGCUUUGUCUGGAAUGUUCUCCUCUUCCGCACUCAAGGCAUGCACACAAAUUGCUCUUGCUCAACGAACACAAAAACCAAAUACGAAGCAUAUAUUAAUGCUUCUUCUACCUUUAAAAAAGGCGUCUCUAUGAUUCAAUGGUGCAGGAAUCUUUGCAGUGUAUUGUCAAGGCUGCGUGAAUCUUUUCUGUGUGUGCAAUGCAGGAAUCUUCACUGUUGAAUGGCUCGCGUGCAACUUCAGAACCUCACACCUAUCUCUGCUUCAUCUAUCAAUGGCUUAUCACAAAGCCUGUAGCUCUAAACAGUGAUGCUCGUGAAUAAACAGUGCAACUUCUGUGUUAAAUGGAGUGCAUGUGAACAUUGUGUACGCAGUGUAAGUGGGUAAUAUUAAAUUGGGUUUCAGCUGGGAAUUCUUUUUAAUAACAGGGGCAUUUCAGAAAAAACACGUUUCAUCCCUCCAAAUCUCGUUUGAUGAGUGGGUGAGUGAACAGUGUAUUCAUCCCGCAAAUCCCUUCAGUUCGUUCUUCACAAGUCCAUCGAAAUGAACAUGAUAAUUUUGUAAUUCGUCGCUCUCCAACUCUUGUGAAUAGUAAAUUCACCGCAAGUGAACACAACGUUAAUAUUUGCAUAACCAAACUUUAUUUUUAUAUUGUAACCAUUGAUAAUGUUAGUAAUUUAUCACAAUUCUUAGCAACUAUAGUAAAAUGUCAUGUUUCCUAAAUUUCUCCAAAUUACUACUAUGAGUAUGUAGAUUAGUGUUUAUGUUCAUUGAAAAAGUAUACAAAUAAUGAUGUGAUAGAAAGAACGAAAUUAUAGGAGAGUAUUCAUAAGUGAGAAUUUUUUUUGUUACAAGGGUUUUAUAUGCAUAAAUAUAAACUUUUAGAAAUGAUACAUAUAGAAGCACAAAUAUCUUAUUAUAGAGAAAAGUCAAAGUCAAAAUCACUAAAACUUUUGACAAAACUGGACAACAUUACCCUACAAAAGGAAAAGAAAGCAGGAUGAAUACUAAUGUUAAAAUGAUUUUAGGCUAAAACAAGUGUAUGCCUAGUCAAAGUGUGAGACUAAGAAAAAUGAUAAUCUAAAUUAUAUUUGUGUUGGGAUAGAAACAAAAAUAUAGUAUAAAACUUUGAGAGAUAUUCAUAAUUGUAAAUUAUUCUCGUUAUAUCUUGUUUAUAUUUGAUGGUAUAUAUAUAUAUAUAUAUAUAUAUAUAUAUAUAUAUAUAUUUAUUGCACAUUUUCCUAUUACUAUAGGAUCAAGGAUCAGUAGUUAUUUUUUCUCAUGAAGCACAAACAAGUCAAAUACCAUCUUGAAUUGAACUAUAUUAAAUAGAAGAUUAUGAUUUUUCCUACAAUACAUAACCAUACCUAGCCGUAAGCUUAAUCGACUAUGUUGUUUUAAAUAUUACACGUAACUACAAUAUGAGUCUAUAUUAUAACAUAAUAUGAACCUAUUUAACAUGAUUUUUUAAUUGAAAAUUUAAUGUUCAUUGCGAAAUAUAAUAAUAUAUUUUUUAAUUAAAUGAAAAAUGUACAAAUAUUUAAACAAAUGCAUGAAAAAACAUUUAAAAAUAGGUAAAAUUUUGUCACCUGUAUAGGGAAUAUAUAUUUUGUUUUGAAAGUUAUAUUUAAAAAUUAAAAAUUCCAAAGAAUUUGAAAAUGUGUAUCCCCACCCAUCCCAUAGCGACUCCUAUAUUAAUAGCAAUUAAUGAUGCGAAAGAGAGUGAUAGCAUAUAUGGGUACCGUGAACUAAACACUACAAUUUAUAUCCCAUGUUGAAAAGUACACUGAUAUUUGGUUUUGGAGGGAUACUUAGAUUAGUAUUAGUAAAGCUUAUUCCCCACAAGUUUCUUUUUAAAUAAUUAAAAAGUAAAAGUUUAAAACAAAAUAAUUUAAUAAUUUUUUUUUUAAAACGGUGAACAUUAAAUAUAACGUAGAAAAAAAAAUAUUUGUAUCUACUACAUAAUGUAAAUUUGAUUUUAUUUCCAAUUAAUUUAAAAUUUUCAAUACACGUUAAUUAUAUAGAUACAUAUACAUUACUUAAUAAGUAAAUAGGAAGUUGAUUCUAUUUUUAUUAUUUCCUGUUCCUCUUUUAACAUUAUAAAGAUUUUAUUUCAUAUCUAUGUUUUUAUUUAAUUGGUUCUUUUUUGCCUUUUAAAUUAUACACUCUUUAAACUUGUUAUUGAUUUAAUAUUUGUGUAUUAUAAUUUCAGUUUUUUAAUUUAAGUUUUGAUAUAUUUUAUUUAUUUAUAUUAUUGGUAUACUGUUUAUUUCAUAUGCUUACUUUAUAUUUGUCGCUUACUUACAUUUUUUUUUGUGUUUUAAUAUCCAGUAAUUUUUCCGUAUAUUUUUUUAUUACAUUUCCACUAAAUUUCUAAUGAAGUCAUGUUGAAUUAGAAAAUAAAAUUAAAUAAAUUUAUCGUGACCAAUUUUUAUAAAAUGAUUUUUGAUGAUGGUCUUCAAUUUUUUUUUCACAUUUUAUUUUCUUGUCAGAACUUUAAGAUGAAAAACAUGUACAACUUAAAAUAUUUUAUGAUAAAAUAUGCGGAAAAGAUACUUAGUAAUGAAAGUUAUUUAGUUGUGAAUAACAUAUAUUAUCAAAUGUAUAUUUUGUUGUUGAUUAACAAUUAAUAAUUAUUUUAGUCAAUUUUAUGUAUUAGUCACAUCAUGGCGUAUUAUUUAUUUUAUGCUUGUUUAUUCAUGUCUCUCUCUUUAAUAUCCCUGCAAUAAUGAAUUUUACGAGAUUAUGUUUUAAAAAUUCUUUUAUUCAUAUUUGAAUGUAAAUACCAUUUUUAAGAUAAAAACAUUAUUUUUUUAUGGGUUAAGUAUGUUUUUCGACCCUCAACUAUUGGUCAUUUUUGUAUUUAGUUCCUCUUUCAAAGUAUAAUACAAUUUAGUCUUUCAACUUCAGAAAACUAUGGUUUUAGUCAUUUUUACCAAAUUUUUUAAACUUUAUUUGCUGUUUCAAGCACGUUACAUUAUAGCAUUUGGAUUGUUUAUACAUUUUGACACAUUUUUGCUUCAAUGUUAAUUAAUAAACGCGUUUGAAACAACAAAUAAAGUUAAAAAAAAUUGGUAAAAAGGACUAAUACCAGAGUUUUCUAAAGUUGAAGGACUAAAUUGUACUAUACUUUAAAAGAGGGACUAAACACAAAAACGACCAAUAGUUGGGGAACGAAAAACAUAUUUAACCCUUUUUUUAUCCUCAAGGCUAAAUUUUUAAAUUUAGAGGUUAUUUUUUAUUAUAUCAACGUUCUUCAUAAAGAUGUGUUAUAAAAAUCAUCUCAAAUUUAAAUCCUUAAUUAUGACAUGCGUACUAAAGAUGGCUUAUUUAUAUUUUUUAUAUGAUCAACUUGAUUCUUUAAAAUAAUCUAUUAUGCUUUUUGAUAGCUACUAGAUUUAGAAUAUUGGUUAAAAUUAAAAAGUAAUUGUAUAGAAUAUAUUUAAACAUCUUACCGACUUAGUAAAUAUAUUAAAAAAUGUGAUAUAAAUAAAUUUUUUAUUUUGGAACACCUUUAAAAAUAUAUCUAUUAAAAGAAUGUUUAUAUAUUUAUAUAUUAACGGUAAUCAUAAUUAACCUUGUGAGUGUAAUAUUAUUGUUAUUAUUUACAAGUAAGAUAUGACAUUGUUAUUGAUAUUUAUUUGAACAAAGUGUUAUUUUAUUAGUAUUAUUUGAUAUCAUAUUAUUUGUUUUAUAAUAUAGGCUCAAGGUCUAUAAAUACAUUUGUUUCCUCUUAUAUUCAUUCUCUUUUACUUAUAAAAUUUCAACUUUUUUAUUCAUUUGAGCGUCAUAAAGACUUUUAUAUAUGAAUAUUUUUUUUGUAUUUCAACUCUCAAAAGUACACGUUAAAAACUUCAAAGUCAUUCUGAUCAUGCCACAUGUCCAAAGGUCCACAUUCAUGAUCAGGUAAGAACAUUUAGCGUCAACAAUGAAGCUUGAUAAAACUUUUCCUUGACCUCACUUCCAUGGUCACUACCCAAAGUCAAGCCCAAAUUUCUCAUGAGAUGGAAUCUAACCCAGUAACGACCCUUAAGUAUAAAAUGCAAAUAUUAAUUUAGCAAAACUAAGAAUAGCACAGGUGCUAUGAUGCCGAGCUUGAAUCCCUGUGUGCUGAACAUCAAACGGACCUCCAAGAGCUUCCGUAGAAGUUGAACGACUUGGAGAAUGGAAAUCAACUCCUGAUAUUGGCUUAACUCCAGGGAAAAAGGCUCACAUAACUCCCAAAAAGAAUGCUUCCCGCCAACAUAGCAAGAUUCGCGUGAAUGCUGUGACCGAUCCCCUCGACAUAGGACUAAAAUAUAUCUAAGUAGGUCAACCUGAUGCAAAAUGAGGGAAACUCGCGGACAUUCCCGCCACCAAGAUGGAGUAACUAGCGAAGUCCCUAGAUUCCACGAGAUGUCCUGGUAGGCGAGUAAACCAGGAAGAGCGCCAAACUUCUCGUGUAUAUAUACGCAAAACAUCAAGAAUUUUCAUCAUUUCACAGCGUAAGUGGCUUGUGCUAGCAUCCCUAGAUGAUCAUCCAAAAACAUGACAAGACAAUUGAGCUCACCACACAUUUAAAGAUUUAUCUGAUCCAGGUCAAGUUUCAUACUCAAAAUAAAAAAAGUUUGUUGCAGAUUGUUUCCAACCAAUCUGGACAGAAUAACUUCAAACUAGUACUACAUGCUACCUCGUACUUGGAGGAUUCAUUUGAAGCGUUGAGCAUGUUUAGAGCUCGAUUUACUGAUCGCAAAACAGUGACCACCAUGUCAACAUUUCAUGAGAGGUUCACCACUGCAACGACCACAAUCUCAUACCUCACUUUAUAUGUAUACACUAAUUGAUUUACAGUUUAUAGCCCAUACUCUUCUCAAACUCCCUCUUUAUCGAAAGACUGAACAACAUGGAUGAUCUUGGGAAAUAAGAGGCCAAAUACAUGACCAUUGAAAACAAGUUAAAAAGGGCAAAGAAGUCCAAUACCCCAUCAAGAUGGAAAAGUAGGAAAAAUAAUGCCUUUGAUCGAAUUACGACCUGAUACAACCAAUACACUCCCUAGAAUGCUAGCAAGGACACCAUACAUGUAACUUAGAGCUCACCCAUCUCUUUAAGCUUAGACAACCUUUCCCUAGGCGAUCCCACAAAAAAGUAAUCCUACCACUAGAGUAUAAGACACACCACCGAAGAAUACCAUCAUCAAAGGGAUCUUAUCAAAGAACUAGUCUAAUUUGGUGCUCUAGUCCACUUCAUUUAGCAGGAAAACAACGGUCGAGAAAGAGAACACAACAAAUUCCUUGGUCGAGGUCAGGAUAAAGAGGAAGACAAGAUUGAGGACAACCAAAUCAAGCCAACAUGAUCCUCUAAAUCCUAGGACUCGAACCCAUCCAAGAUUAUCAACCCACUCUUGCAUGACCAAUCAUUUGGAACUAGAUCAUUCAACCCAACCCCGCAAGGUAAGGGGUAGUUUUCACCAUCAUUGGAGGUUUUGUCGAGGGAGGAAGAUCCUAGGCAGCAUAUAAAAGAUACCAAAAGAGCAUCAACUUCAUAAGCCCAUUCCCGUCACGACACUUACCUUUUAUAACCUUUUUCAACGAGAACUUUUACUUGACCCAAAUCAAGACGAUCUAGUGAUUGCCACAACAACCAUCAACCAAUUGGCAAGUCCAUAAAAUCCUCAUAAACAAAGGAAACUCGACCAAUGUCUUGCUCUGACACGUCUUCAAGGAGUUGAAUAUCCCCAUCAACUUCAUUCAACUUAUCCAGAAUCUCCGCUUAAUUUUGCCAGAGAAUGGAUCCAAAGGAUACAUCAAUCUAUUGAUGACCUUCGCAACGCCAGAAGCCCAUUGCAUUGUGAAGAUAUAUAAUAUCUUAUAAUGGAUACAGGCACAUCUAUAAUAUCUUGGUUUGACAAAAAAAUGUUUUAAAAGCUUGGAACCAUCGUGUACACCCGGAACAUGAGAGUUAUAAUACAUAAAUAUAAUAAUUUGCUUUUUAUAUAUUAUUAAAUAUAUGGAUUGUAUAUUUAUGCGUAUACGAAGCAAGUUAAACAUAUUAUAUUUUUCUCUUACUCUCAUUAUUUGGAUUGUUUAAAUUAUUAUCAUUCAAUUUUUUUUAAGAGUACAUUUUUUCAAUCUUUUAAGUUAUAAUCAAGUUCAGAUGAAACAAUUUUAUUUGUGAAUAGUCUAUCUUUUAUAACUAAAUUAAUAUAAGUCAUUUUUAAAUACUAUUUAAUCUAUUCGGUAAAAUGAAUUAAAAAGCAUAAAGAUAGUAUUUUUAGCGUUAAAUUUUCAAUAAAGAUUUUAAACAUAAAAUAUAUUAUCUAGAUAAGGUAUUGUCCCAUAGGAAAAGAUAAGACCUUCAAUACAGAAUGUAGAAACUGAAACGAUUUCCAAAAUAAUUAAAAGGGUCAUUGUAAAACUUACAAAAAAAAUUUACUUAAAAUUUUAAGGUCAGAUUUAUAAUUAGAGAAAAUUAAAUGAAAAUUUAAAAGAUUUUAUAUCAUGUGAUAUAGAAACCUACAAAGAAGUAUAAUAAUGCACGAUCUCAUUCAUUAAAAAUCUCAAAUUCUCAACAAAAAAAUUCAAUAUUAAUUUUUACUGCGUACAUAAAUAUUAAUUCCUAAAGUAGUUUCAAUUUAAACAAAUUAAAGCUGUUCAAAAUUUCAGAGAAUGCAUUAAACUUUUGAACAAAUAAUUUAACAUUUAUUAAGGACAAAACCAAUUAAUACAUUUAAAAAAAGAAAUACUUAUCUGAUUGAACGCUAACCUAUAAAUCUGGACAUACAUAAAAUAUGGUGAAGGUUGUGUGUGGGUGAACUUAUUUAUACCAGUUCAUUUAACCCUCCCAUUGAAAAACAGUUUCUACUUGAACAUUUUUACCUAUGGUGUGCAAGAGUAAAAAAUUAUAAUUUUUUUGUAGUAAUAAUAAUAAUAAUUAAUAUGAUGAAUUGAAAGCGAUAUGGAAAUUUAAUUAUUAAAAAAAAUGUUUGAUUAAAUUUGUUGGCGAAAGUAUGUGAGGAUGAGAAAUCUACUUUUCUUUAGUUUCUCCCUUUCUCUUGUGGUGUGCGCGUGUCCAUCUAUCAAAAGGCAACAACUACCUCCUUCCUACUUAUCUACCCCCACACCCUUUCAAUGCUAGCAGCCUUUCUUCUAUUUAUAUACCCAACUUCUCUCUUCUUUUCUUUUCAUUCUCAAACGCUCUUCAAUUCUUACACACUGCCAUGGCUCCUUCUUUCGACACAAACACUCAAACAGUUUGCGUCAUGGACGCUUCCGGCCACCUAGGUUUCAACCUCGUCCAGAGACUCCUCCAACGAGGCUACACCGUCCAUGCCUCUCUCCAAAAAUAUGGUAAUCGAUCAUCUCUUUAACUCUUCAUGCCACACUUCCUUCCCUUCAAUUUCGAUUUCAAUUUCAAUUUCAAUCUCCUUUUCCUUUCCGAUCGUGUCUCAGGGGAUGAAGACCUAUUCAAUGGGAUUUCCACAGACUCUAAUAAGCUCAAGAUUUUUCGAUCUGACCCAUUCGAUUACCAUAGCAUAAUCGAGGCACUCCGAGGCUGCUCUGGUUUGUUCUACACGUUCGAACCUCCCCAUGACCAACAAAAUUAUGACGUAAGCACUAUUUUUCAUCUUCUUUCUUUAUGAGAUUCGUUAUAUUCCUCUCAUGCUAUCGCAAUUAAAACAAAAUAAUGAAAAUAGUUAAACCAUGAGAGCCUUUUGUGGGCAUUAAUUUAUUGGUGUAUGCAGAAUUUGCCUGAGAUGUUUCGUGGUGUGCUGGAAUGACCCUACUCAUGUGUGGGUUACUCGCCUCCAUUAUAGUCAAGUAAAUGGUGAAUUCGCCUUUAUGCUAAAUUAAUUGUAAUUAAUAGAAACCAAUCGUGGUAGUUUUGAUUUGGUUAUCCAUCUCAAUCACUUAAUAAUUCACUCAUGUGUCGUAAUCGUUUGUGCUGGUUAGUUUUCAGCCAUGUGCUUAUUUGCUUAUCUCAUUAAGUGUCUGAUCUUAUCAACAUCUUAUUCGUAAAUUAUUGCCAAUCAUGACGAAAUAUUGAUGCGGAAAGGUUUACACUUAUGCUUGACGCUCAUACAGAGGUUCACAACUUGUUAAUAUAAAUUUAAAUUGCAAUAAUGCAUGAACUGAUCACUGUCUAUAUAUGUCAUUUUUCUAUUUUCUAAAGCAUAUUUUAUUACGUAUAUUUGCUCUACCAUAUCAGAACCUUCCUGUCAGUAAAUUAUAAAACAAAUCUGACUUAAAAAAAAAAAAAAACUUCAAUUCCAAAUUAGUUGUCCGGUGCAUUUAAUUUAUUGGCAAGCAUUUUUCGGAAAGUCUGUUUGACUAAAGAAAUAGUUUGGCAGAAAACUUAUUACGGUUCAACUGUUACCAGAGUUCAUAAAACGCGUUGAAAGUUUAUCUUUUUUAGGUGUUUCUACAUUUCUAUCAUUUGUUUAUCAUGAAUAAAAAAUUAUACGAACGUUUUAAAACUGAACUCUGUCAAGUUCAACGGUUUUAAAUAUUCGUGGUCAUCAAAAGAGCAUUUAAUUCAGUUUUUGAAAAGUAGUAAAUUUGGUUUGAGAUUUGUGCUGAGAGCAGAAGUGAUAUGUGUGGUAUUUGAAACGUACAGGAAUACAUGGCAGACGUGGAAGUAAGAGCUGCACACAACGUGUUGGAAGCCUGUGCACAGACAGAGACAAUGGAUAAAGUGGUUUUUACUUCCUCAGCAACAGCAGUAGUUUGGAGAGAGGAUCGCAAGAGCAUGGAACUGGAUCUGGAUGAGAGACAUUGGAGUGAUGUUAAUUUCUGUCGUAAAUUCAAGGUAUACAACGUCUCUUCGAUGCAACACUAAUAUUCUUUUAUUAUUUUUUAUUGUAAAAAUAGUGUUAAUUAGCCUAGUUUCAUGUUUGGGUAUGUUGCAUAAUCGAUUUAUAGAUGAUGAUAAUAAGCAACGUGCAUGAAUAAAAAUGUCGGAAACAAAAUGAGUUGUAAGGGAAGAUGGGAUACGAGGAAAAUGACAAAAGUGAAUAAUUGAAUGUUUUGUACAGUUAUGGCACGGUGUGUCGAAGACAAUGGCUGAGAAAAGUGCGUGGGCCUUAGCAAUGGACAGAGGAGUGAAUAUGGUGUCCAUUAACGCUGGCUUAUUGAUGACUCAUGAUCUCACCAUCCAACACCCUUACCUCAGAGGAGCUGCUGAGAUGUACGAGGAUGGUGUUUUCGUCACCGUUGAUUUACCUUUCUUGGUGGAUGCUCACAUCUGCGUAUACGAAGAAGUCUCAUCCUACGGUCGUUAUUUGUGUUUUAAUCACAUCAUCAACACCCAAGAAGACGCCGUUCAGUUAGCUCAGAAGUUGACUCCCGCUGCUGGUUCUUCCUCCUCAUCUUCAUCCUCCCAAUCGCCGCAAAGGUAGAGGACUUUCUUUUUUUUUUACUUUUUUUUUCCUUUUAAUAAUGUUGACUUCUGACAUAUUCAACUUUUUUAUUUGUCUGCAGUGGUGACCUCGGUAAGGGUUUUAUCGAACAGAAAAUUAGCAACAAGAAGUUGAACAAAUUGAUGGUAAACUUCGAAGCUUGAUUGAAGAGCAUUCACCUUGGAUGAUGCUCUGCGGGAGAGAGAGUAUUCGUGUGCAAAAUGUAACAGAAAUUUGUACCUAUAAUACCCUCAUAUUAUUAGUAUCAUUAUACACAUUAAUGUAUUUUCAAUCAAAUAAUCAUUUCUUAAUUUGUUUUAAUAUUAUAUAAUGUAAAAUAUUUUCCUCUUUUUAAAUUCUCUUUGCCUCAUGCACCCUCCAAUUUUUCACCGCUGAGUCACAAGAGUGUUUAUGUUUAUAAAACAAUUUUAUUCUACGAAAAUCGAAAACAUCAUUCCGAAAAUAAAAACAAUUGAAUAAAGUGAAACUAAAUCGAUUUGUUUUUUUUUUUUUUUAAAUUACAUUGUUUUUAUUCUAUUGAAUUAUAUCUUCGUUUUAAAAAACAAUAAGUGAUCCAAACCAUGUUUGUAUGCAUUUCUAUGAUUUCAGUCAUAAUUUUAUAAAAAAUUGAACAAUGUUUAUAUUUUCAUUUUUUAUAUAAUUACAAAAUCAUCGUAUAACUUAUACUUAUUUAUGAAAAAUAUAUUUAUUCAAGAUACUCCGCUACUAACUAUUCGAGUGAAGGUGUUUAACUGUAAAUUUAUAUGUGAUAUAUUAUAUAUUAAAAAUGUACAAAAAGUUAUAUUAUUAUGUCUUGUAUAAAACAAUGUAUGAAAAAUAUAUUUAUUAAAGAUGAUUGCAAUUUGCUUGCAUAAAAAAUGCCAAAAUAUUUCAAAAUUUAUACAAUCGAACUUCAUCGCACCACAUUAUUUUUCAUUUUUUUAUUGAAACUUUUAACCUACAUUUUACAAAAUUUACAAUUUAAAUAAUACUUUAUUUAAUUAUUGAUAGAGAUACACAUUUCUAAGAUAUAACUAUAUUAUUUUAUUUUUAUGAUCCAAAAUGUUAUUAAGAUCUAAAAAUUUUAAAUUUUACGCCAUAUUAUUAUACUUUAAUGGAACUAAGUCUUAAAUUUAUGAUUAUGUAUAUGACUUAUAGCAUUUUUAAUUAAAGUGUCAAAUUGAGUCAAUCUAAUUUAACUGGAUUGACAAAUUGAAUUAAAAAUGAGUUAGUUUAACUUGAUUAUUAUUAUUUUUUAAAUUAAAUAUUUUGUACCAUUACAUGAAUUAAGUUAAAAAUAAAUCAAUUUAAUUUAAUUUACUUUUGGUUGAAUAAAAAAUUUUAUUGACUUAUCAUAGACUAAAUUAAUAGAUUCACUUAUUUAAAAAUGUUUUAUUUUUCUAAUCGAAUUAAGUAAACACAAUUUAUUUUGACUUAUAUGCUAAAAAAUAUUAAUAUUUUUUUAAUUUAAUUCAACUUGAAUCCGUAGGAUGUUGAAUUGACUCAGAAGUUUAAACUUAUUUUGUAAUCUAUAUCACAAAGUUUUAAACUCAUGAUUCUGUAAAUGACAUAUGGAAUGGAAAUAUUCAAACAAUUAAAUCACUAAAUUCCCAACAGUAUGACGGAUGAAAAAAAUAUAAUUAACUUUUUGGAAGUUAUGAAAUGUCUACACAAAUCUCGUACUGUCACCAUUAUAUUUAAUUGGUUUAGAUCCAAUCGAAUUUGACUUGAAUUUGAAUAUUAAUAAGGCUCAUUCAAACCCCCCAACGUUGUGUGGUGCUUUGUGAAUAGGAUAAAAGUAAAAGGAACAUUUAUUUUUCACCUACAAUGACAUGGGAGAGUUAAGGAGUUGAAAUAAUAGAAUGACCUUUAAUUGGAAAACCCUGAAUUGAACCAGCAAAUGCUUUGCUGGAUUAUAAAUCCAUGUCGGUGGACAGAGGUAGAAGAAAAAAUACCAAAGCUAAACCUAGGGCUGCAUUGCAUUAUAUGCAAUAAUACAUGGUAGAUAAAAAUACCUUUUUCCUCUUUUGGGUACCAUAGCACACUAAUUAGAUAAGAAAAUACAUUACUUCUUCAACGUUGACUCUAAACUAUGUUCUUCAACUUACAACGUCACUAAUUAGACGUCAGUUAAAGGGGAAAGCGACGUAAAUUAUUGACCGGUAGCAAUUGUGUAAAUAAGUGAAGCAUAUAAACGUUUGUUAGGUGGGGAGCCAACGUCUAUAAUACUAUAAACGUCAGUACCCCUAGAAACUGACGUCUAUAUGUUUAACAGGUAAGUGAGAAAUCAUUUCUUUCCGUCAUAUGGACAUCAGUGCUCCGUCUACCCGACGUCUAUAAUCUGACAGCAAGGUGGAAAUUUAAACUUUUGCGCUAUCUAGACGUCUGAUCUUGCCACCUAACGUCUAUAUUUGAUUAUAGACGUCGGUGCCCCGCAUACCCGACGUUUAUAGUCUGACAGGUAGGUGAAAAUUUAAUUUUUUCCGUCAUCUAGAUGUAUGAUCCCCGCCACCCGACGUCUAUAUGCGAUUAUAGACGUCAGGGCCCCCAUACCCGACGUCUAUAGUCUGACCGGGUAUGUGAAAAGUCAUUUGUUUCCGCCCACUAGAUGUCUCGUCCCGCCAAGGCGACGUCUAUAUAUAACAAAAAUAUUAAUUGCCCGACGUAUAUGCAAUUAUAGACGUCGACUUUGUGGGCAACUAACGUCUAAUUUCUUGUUAAAUGGUGCGAACCAGCAUUUUGAUCGUCUUCCUUCGUCUUUUCUCUCCACUACACUGCAUUUCCAGGUCCGUUUGAUGUUUUGUGAACCAUUUAAAGUUGUUUUCACUCUGUUUAAAGUAAUCUUUGAUGUAUUAUCUUUCAUUUGAACUGAUUAAAAUGAGUUUUCGUUGUGUUUUGGUGCAGUUUUUCUUGUGUCUUUGGGUAGCGUAGUGCACCUUCUCCCUUUGCUAUUUUCCUCCUAAGAAAAACUUACGAUUUUUGGAUCUCUUAUGGCAUUUCAACCCGAAGUCGAAUCUGGGUCCUUACAUAGUGCCAUUUCCGCCACCAAUGCAAAAGAAAACGGUGUAUUCUCACCGUAUUCUUUUUCAUUGGCUCGAAGUGGACCUAGGCAACGACCCAGGUUCAUCUUUGGGUUGAAAUGCCAUAAGAGAUGAAACAGAUGCAAUUUUUUCUUACGAGGAAACUAGCAAGGGAAGGAGGUGCUACUACGCUACCCAAAGACACGAGAAAAACUGCAUCAAAAUACAACGAACACUUCAUAGACGUCGGUUAAUGUUUUGACCGACGUCUAUAGUGCCUAUAGAUGUCGGUUAAUGCAAUGUUUGACGGAUUUAUAGACGUCGUACGUGUCACUGAACCGACGUCUAUAAUGACAUCGCACCUGUAGAAAUCUGACGUCCCAUUAACGUCACCCGUAAAAACGUUGGUUCGGGAGGUGACGUUAAAAGUCCAAAAUAACUGACGUCUAAAGCCCUUUCUGCACUAGUGUAUCUUUAAAGAAAGGCCAUAUUUGGAAAUGAUUCUCUUGCCUAUUUUUUUCCUCGGUUCUUCUCACCUAGACAUAACCUGUCUGUAUGUGACUGAAAUGAUUUGAACGAUUGGCUCAUUUCCAAAUUGGUUUCAUGCAAUUAUAUUAAGAUUAGAUUCAUAUAAGAAAAUGAGUAGACGAGGAAAACAUAAAGAACGAGAAUAAGCAUAAGAAACUUUAAAAACUUGUAUGAGCAAUUUCUUUGGCUACCAAGAGUUUCCAACCAUAGGGUAUCAUAAUUCAAUAUUUCAAGUCAAGGGUUGCAAUGGUUUUAGAAACGAUACUCUUCCCGCAUAUAAUUCAAUAUAUCCGCAGAUAAAAUCUACGACAGAUAGUUGAUACCCACGGAUAUUUACUAUCCCCGCAACCCGCAGGUAAUGGAUAUUUUAAUACUCGCUUAUAAACGGGUUGGGUGCGAGUAUUGUAUUAUUUGUAAUAAAUAAAAAUAAAAAUUUAACUUAUAUUUUAUUAAGUUAAAUAUAAUUAAAAUUAACAUUAAUUUAUAUUUUAUAAGAUUAAAUUUAAUUAAACUUGAAUUUUAAUUUAUAUUUAAUUUAAUUUAUAUUAUAUUUUAUAUAUUUUUGUAAUUCUAUUUAAAUUUUAUUUUAAUAAUUUAUAAAAAUAUUUUUUUAAAUAUUUGCGGGUAUAUCGCGGGUUUUAAAAUACUCACAAAUAUUUUUUAAACGGACCAUACAAGUAGCGAGUCAGGUAACAAGUGAAUUUUUUUUGUCGAGUUAGAUGACGAGUAAAUACUAUUCAUACCUGACCCGACCUGUUGUGAUUUCUAACUGGAAACAAUGAUAAAAAAACUCAAUUAGACUUUUAAAUGUCUGAAUAUAAAUCUCUAUCUUGUUAUAACUCAAAAAGGAAAAAAAAGAACCCUAUAUAUAAAGUUCCUUUAAGAAAGGAGGAAAACUGAAAUCCUAAUUAAUAGAUCUAACUUAUUAUGGUAACUAAACAAUAAUCUAACCGAUUAUUUUAAUUCCAAUAAAAGGCACAAAUAUGACUUCUACAAUGAAUUGUUAAUGCUAUAUUACCACAAUUCACAAUUCAAUAAAUAGAAUGAGUAUAAUAUACAAUAAAUGCUUAUGACUCUAAUUAAGUGAUAUUACCAUGAUUGUUAAAUGAACGUGGGUGUUACUUCUAAAUAAAAAACAGGGAGUUUUAGCACUAGUUAGAAAGUAAUUGAUGUAGAAUGUAAUCAUUUUCUAUAUUUGUUUGCGAGUAAAACUAAUAUAAAAUGUUUUUUCAAUAUUAUUUCGUUUAGGUGUUUUUUUGUCUUAAAAAAACAAUCUGUUUUAGCACUUUCCCAUUUAUUAGAGUUAAGAUAAAGAAAAACAUACGCAUUUUAUAUCAUAAAAAUAAUAAUAAAAUUAAACUUUGGUUUUUAAAAUUAUUCACCACCCACAAGAAUCUCACUUUCUUUAUUUCUUUUAAUGUAUAAUCUCGACAUGUGAAUUCUCCAUUAGUUACCACUAUAAUUGAUAUAAUAUGCUCUCUUAUAUUUACUAAAAUGUUAUUGUCUCUCUUUGGACAAUGACUUUUUGUUAAACUAUAUAAUGUUUGCAAUGUAAUAAAGUGCUUUUUUAUUAGUCGAUGAUAACACCUGCUCCUUGGCACCCUUCCUAAAACUUGAGAUUAAAUUAAGAUCUAAUUACUAAUGAAAUGUAUAAACAUUUGGUAAUAAAUUUCACUAAUUCACGUACAUUUCCAUAACGAGUUUUUACAUUGUUUAUUUUAGACAUUUUGCUUUGGUUGUACGAUGUAGAAAGUAAAUAAGUUUUAAUAUAUGAUAUCUUAUGUAAAAGUGUAUUUUAACAUUGGUUUUAGAAUGUAAUUAAUGUGAAUAAAUCACUUUUUGCAUAUGUUAUUAAAGAAUGUAAUUGAUGUAAAAUCUAUCAUUCUACAUAUUAUAUAUAUAUAUAUAUAUAUAUAUAUAUAUAUAUAUAUAUAUAUAUAAUAUGAAGUUCUCAUCAAAUAAAGAAUUAGACAGAAAACUUCAUAUUUAUAUAUUUCAAAAUGAUGAUAAUAAUUAGAGAUGCCAAAAAAACUAUACUUACAUGCAUUUAUGGAUAAAAUUUAUAGUGCAAAAGAUGGAUAUUAUAAAUGAGUAUAUGGAGAUAAUGGGCAUUAUUAUUUUCUUAUACUUACAUGUUAAAGAGACAGGUAUGGAUAUCAUAGUAUCCUUAUCCGUGGAUACCUGUAUCUCAUAAUCUCUAAAAAACUUCUAUAUUGUAAUAAACAUGAUUUAAUAUUUAUAUUUAUAAUUUUAUUUGGUCUUUGCUUAUAGUCAUAUAUUGUAUUUGAUUUGAAUUUAUUUGGACGUUGUUAUCUUUGAUUAAUGAUGUAAGAAAAAAUUCAUUUUUAACUUUAGCAUAAAAGAAGCAAUUAAACAAUUCUAUUUAUGGUAAUUCUAUUCGAAGACACUUCCCGACAUUAAAUAAUAAACAUGUAUGUAUAUAAAUAUUUGGUUAAAGAUAUAAAGUUGUGAUAUUGAAAGAAAGUAACUCCUCCAUUGCGUUGGAUUUGCUUUGGAUAGGACUACAGUAUUCGGGUUGGACAUACUCCAACACUGCACUCUGAGUGAGAUAUUUGGAAUAUAUAUAUAUAUAUAUAUAUAUAUAUAUAUAUAUAUAUAUAUAUAUAUAUACAAAAGUUUUUUUUUCCGUCAACAUCAAAAUUAUUAUUAACGAAACUUCUGUUAUCAUAUACUUAAUAUUAUUUAGUAAUUGAUAACUUAAAUAUAUUAUCUCUUUCAAUUCUUUGAAAUAUUUUUUAUUUAUUAAUAAUAAGUGGUUUGGACUUUUUAAAAUUCUUUUAUUAGUAUAAAAUUGGUAUAAAUUACUUAAUAACAAUGGGAUUCAAUUGGUUUUUUUAAUCGAUUGAUUAUUCGUUUAAAAUUCCAAGUUAAAUAUGGAAUUUAUAAUUUAUUGCUACUAGUGUUUUUAGUUUAUGUACAUGAAUUAAUUCUAAUUAGAUAUUAUCUUAAAAUACGUUGAGAUUUAGUCUUCUAAUUUAAAUCAACUAAAAAAAGUGAGUUAGUAAGUGUAUUUUGAUUUGACCAACGCACGUCCACUUUGGUUUUCGUUUUUGUCUUAAAUACUAACAACUUAUAAUCACCAACUAUACGUAGAAUCCCUAAAUUUUGUUUUAUCAAUUAUUGUUAUUUUUGCAUAAGUAAUUUUUUUUUUCUUUACCAAAGUCGUUAUUUAUAUCUAUAUGAUUAAAAAUUCCGAUUCUAGGAGUUGGUCCCCAUCUCUUGUAAUGUAUAUUAUAUUUUGAAUAUUUUAAAUAUUAAGAUAAUUAGGUCAAAUAUUUCUGGUUGGCAGUUGAUCUAUAAAGAUAUUUAAUAUAUAUAAUAUUUAUUAUAAGGAUAUAUAGUGGUAUGUCUUCUCUAUUUUUGAUAAGAUAGUUUAGUAUUAUCCUUUUGUUAUUAUUUUAAAGAUUGUAAAUAAUUCUCACGGUCCAUCUUUCAUAUUAAUUAAUUAAUAAUUAUUUAGAAUAUAAUAUUUUUCUAGUAUGAAUAUUUGCAAAAAUGUAAGAGAAAUGAUACUUUAAUCCACAUAAAUUUUUUACACUUAUUUAAUAUUAUUUUUUUUAUUUUUUUUAAUAUAUAAUUUUUUUAUAAUAAUUUUAUUUUUAGACCGGUGGUUCCACCACUCCCAGAAGAAAAAUAUAAACACGUAGUGUAAAGAGUAUGACUUUAUUGAAAAUAGAAACCAAAAUAACUUCUUACAAACUUCCAUCAAUUUCUUAAUCUCCAUUGAAGAUAUAUAUAUAUAUAUAUAUUGAGAAUGGUAGAAAAGUUGAGUGAAUGAGAUUUAUCGUAGAAAGUGUUCGGACAGAAGCUGGUCCUCCUCAUAAGGACCCGUUCAAUGCGAACCACAUGAUGAAUAUCACCAUCUUCUACUCCUAAAACUACUCUCACUUUUAACUCUUUCAUUCUCCACAUUCCACGCGUAACUCUAACCAUCUUAUCCUCAAAAAUAACUAAAACAGUAUAAAAAAAUAAAUAAACCUUUACGUCCACUUCACCCCACUUUCACACAUGCAAACAACCAACUAUGUCUUCACCCAAAUCAAAGCAGAGAACUACAAAGUGCCACCACCGCCACCACUUCCACCACUGCCAUCUCUGUCGCACAUCACCCCGGCGACUUUGAUAUUCUCCACCAUGGCAGUCGCCGCCUUCUGCUUCAUAGGUGUCGGUGUCGUCUACUUCUGCAAGUGCUGUUUCAAGAACAUCUCCCCCACUAACACAAUCGUUCGUAUCUCUCCUCCCGACUCUCCCCACAGAGGCCUCGACCCUUCUCUGCUAAGGAUGUUCCCCACGUUCCUCUACGCCACCGUCAAGGAUCUCCGCACGGAGAAGAAGUACUCACUCGAAUGCGCCAUUUGCUUGCUGGAGUUCGACGACGACUGCAUUCUGCGUCUCUUAACACCCUGCUGCCACGUUUUCCACCAGGAUUGCAUCGACUCCUGGCUCCGAUCACACAGGACUUGCCCCGUUUGCCGUACGGAUCUCGAUACUCAGGCAAGUAACACCGACGCGCAGAGACCUGAGCAAAACGAGGAGAAUAUGGAGCACGAGAUAAGCGAUCACGUGAGCGUUGAUGUGAAAGAAGGCGAUGAUGGAGACGAGAGACACGGUGAUGGUGAUGAGGGAGGUUCGAUGAAUGUGCGCAUGCAGCGAGACAAGUUUGCAAGUGCACGUUCACACUCGACGGGGCAUUCCAUAGUUAUGGUUAAUGACGACAACGACGAUGCUAAAUACACUCUGAGAUUGCCCCAAGAUGUGGCUUUGAAAAUUGUAAGAGGGCAUCAUCACUCCAAGAGUUGUUCUAGUUACAAAGACAUGGCAGGGCCUUCUUUUGCACCUUGUAGUAACUGUGGUUAUGUUCAAACUCUUCUUCAUAGCUCCAGUAAUGCUGUAAACAAUACUUAACAUCGUUAUUUCGUUCCUUCUUCACCUACUUCUUUUUC
rnacentral:lncRNA from 1 species